rnacentral:lncRNA from 1 species
UCAAUAAGAUUAGGUAGGAUAAUAUGGAAUUUUGUAAUAAUAAAAUAAUAUUAUUAAUCUUAUAUAUGAUUCCAAUGAUUAUAGUAUCAAUAUUAUGUAAAAUAUCCAUUGAUUUCAUCCGACUAUGAUUUGCCAUUCUCAAUAACAAUAUAGUGGGUAAUAAUUGUUUUAAGUCAAGUCCUUUAUUGUAUUGACAUUCAUUAGAUUCACACUAGAGCCACUAUCUAUUUGAACUCUGGAAAUAAGAACACCAUUGAUGAAUACAUCAAUAGUUGGUGCUCUCGGAUUGGGAUUUAAACUAAUUUCAUAAAUUUCUCUAUUAUGGGACCUAUAUCUUAUAAAUGAGGAAUUCAAUGUAGAACAAUAUUUUGAUGUCAUAUUACAUGGCGUUUGGCUUGAGAAUGCAUCAAGCACUUGGUUGUAGAAGAUAAAAGAAAAAUUGUAAGAACAAGUCUUAACAACUCUAAUAGAUUCUUAAACAAAUUAUAAUUAAAGAUUAGUAAGUAUAAUCAAACAUCAAUCAAAUUCAAUCAAAAUUCCAAAGGAAUUAUGUAAGAAAUACAAAAUAUUCCUAAAGAUCCUUUAAAAAAAUCAUAAAGAAAUAACAUAAGAAUUCAAAAAUAUAUUAAAAUAUAAAUCUUAAUAAAAUAUUAAAAUAGAAACCUUAAUUAAAUCCUAAUCAAAUCCUAAUUAAAUCUUAAAUUAAUCCUUAUCAAAUCCUAACCAAAUUCUAACCAAAUCUUAGUCAAAUCUUAAUCAAAUCCUAAUCAAACCCUAACUAAAACUUAAUCAAAUCCUAACCAAAUCCUAUCUAAAUCCUAGUCAAACCCUAACCAAACUCUAAUCAAUCCUAAAUAAAUCCUAGCCAAAUCCUAAACAAAUCCUAAAUAAAUCCUAACUAAAUCUUAAUCAAAUCUUAAAAAAUCCUAAUCAAAUCCUAAAAAAACCUAAACAAAUCUUAACCAAAUUCUAAUUAAAUCCUAAACAUAUCCUAACCAAAUCCUAAAUAAUCGAAAUAAUUUCUAUUGCAGAUUUAAACUUCAAUAACUAAUGAAUGAUCCAUUGAUUUUAACUCAAAAUUUGCACAUCCCUUCAUAAUGUACAUAGAUUCCUCAUAAUGUAUAUUGCAUAGUCAUUCGGGGUCGUGAAGAAUAUUUUAUUACCAAAUAGCCUUGUCCUUUACAAUUAUUGCAUCAAAUAUUGGGGCACAUAUUGGUCGAUUUAUGCCUCUUUUCCUUGUCCUUUGCCAAAUUAACAGCCAAUUUGUCUAUUUUCUUUAUGAAAUUUAACAAAAAAGCCUCAUUUAGAUCCUUUGAUACUAUUUCAUUAGAUAAUUCUUUCAUAGGUAUUGGUUUUUGAUAUGAGAAGUAUGGAGAAUAUGGAACUGCUGCUAUUGGUGGUACAGCCUGCAAUGAGAUAAUAUUAACUAUUUCGUGCACAUUAGCAUCGUAAUCAAUCAUUUUUGGAUAAUUGUCCAUUGCUUCAUUCUAAACUAGUAUUUGAUAAACUCCCUAAGGUAGAAUCAUCGUAACUCUUGUAGUUAAGAAUUGGUCAUAAUGACAUUCUUUCCAUAUCUUAGCUUGAUCAAAUGAAGAAGCAACAGUGGCCGGUUGGACUUUUUUCACAAAUAUCUUUAAUUUUGGUGGAUAUAGUUAGUUAAUCAAUAUAGAAAAAAUAAAAAAAUCCGAGAUUUGGUUAUUUAGCCAUUUACAAAAGAUAUUUGCUAUUUGGCCAUAAUAUGAUUGCACUACUUCUCUUGGUACCAUUGUACUAUUUAUUAACCUUUCUUUGAGAUAUUCUUCAAAUCCAAUUGAUCAAAAAUGGAUUAAUAACAUAUUUUUUAAUACCUCCCAAUUAGAAAAUUGGCCCACAGGCUGGCAAUUAUACCAUUCAAAUGUUGUGUCUUUCAAGAUCAUUGGCAACCAUCUCAACCAAAUAUCUUUAAUUCUACCAUGAUUGGCUACAUAUGCAAUCAAGAAUUGAGACAAAUGUUGAUAUGGAUCUACACCUAGUAAACCUCUAAGCGUAAGUAAUGGAGCUACGCUAGUUGUGCAAUUGCCUACCGCAUCCAUUUGAACCGCAAUUGAAACUAUUGGAUCCCUCGUCGCCAUUGAAGAUGACAAUAUUUUACUUAAUUCUUUAUUAAAAUAAAUACUAUUUUUUUUAAUUAUUUUUUUUGAACUUUUUAGCCUCCUCAAUUUACUAUUAAUAUUUAUAAAUUAUUUAUUGGUUGAAUUAGAGGUAAAAAAUAACAAAUUUUAAAACACGCUAAAUUGACCUUUAUUGAUAAGUAAUUUAUGCUAUUCUAAGGAAUAAGUCUUAUUAAAAUUGGCUGUAUCUAUUAUUGAAAAUAUAUCCAAUAGAAUAUUCAAUUCUUUUGUGCCUCCUUAACUUUCAAUUAAUGGGCUCAAAAGAUAUACUGGAUUGUUGAUAAAAUUUUCCGCAAGUGUUCUUGGUAAUUUUUUUAAUAGUAUAUAUGUUUGAAAUAUUAAAGGUUUGUUAGAUUUUGGAUAUGCUCGGAUAUGCUAACAAGCAUGCAACCAUGGCUUAAUCCAACUCUAUUCAUGCUUUCUUUUUAGAUUAUAUUCUUACUAAUCCUGCAAAAAAUUUCUUCCUUGCGCUCUCUUGUGUCUUGCUUUCAACUAGCAUAUUUUACUUAGUGUGAUAUUCUCAUUCUUAUUAAUUAUAAUCUUUCAUCAUAUAAUACUGAAAUUGCUUUCUAUCUCAAAUUUAAUGACACAUUUGGCUUCACUUUUGAACCAAUAUUAAUUUUAUAAUCUCUUUGUGCAACAUCCAAAACCACUUGUUCGGUAGUUGAUUCUUAACACUCAAUACUAUUAUCAAUCCUUGUCAGUGGCGCCAAAAUAUAAUUGUCGUUUUACAUACUCUUCAAAUAUCUUCUUAGAAUAAACUUAUAAAGAGGAGUUGGAUUCUUAGAAUAAUCACCUUAAGUCUUUUCUAGAAGGUUUUAUGGUAGAUCCCACCUAAAUAACUGUCCUAAGCCUUUUUAGAAGGUUCUAUGGUAGAUCCUGUAUAAAUAAUUGCUCUAAAUUCUUUCUAAAAUAUUUCAUGGUGGAUCCUACCUAGUCCAUUAAUCUAACCUCAAUUCUACAAAUCAUCAUGACUUCUCAAAUAUGGUUCUAAUUAUCUAUUUAUAUCUUUUAAUAAUACAAAUAUCUUAUCUAUACUAUAUUAGAAGUUGAUUAUGUGUAAACAUUGAUCCUUACUUAUCACCUACUUUAGAUGAUCAUGACAUGGAUAAAUUGAGAUCUAAACUUAGCACCAAACUUUCAUAAACUAAACUCUUGUACUUAAGACUACAAGUUUAUAGUUGCAAAUACAUAAGUAAGUUCAAUAUUUGGUUUUGCUAAAAUCUUAAUUUUAUUCUUUUUCUUAUAGUAUUGAAGCGGAAGUUCUUUUUUUCUUCAUUGCUUAUUUUUCUAAUAUUGCUUACUUACUUCCCUUGGUUGUGAUAUUAACCAUUGAUUCAUUAUAGCUUUAUAUUUGAUGCACAUUUUAUAUCAAAUAUUAUUUUUUUUCCCCUCUUGAUGCUCUCUUAAUAUUAUCUUCUUAUUACAAUGAGUAAUAUUAUUUUGAGAUCCAACAAAGUCUUGAUUCUUUAUAGGCUCUCAUUUGUAUUAUUUUCAAAAUUAUUUUAUUUUAUUUUAUUUUAUUUUUUUAUUUUUUUGUCUAGAUCCAUUGAUUAAGAUGAGUAUCUUAGAAAUGAUUUGCUCAAAAGAAUUAAUACUUAGAGGUCUAAAAAAUUACAAGUAUUGGGCUAUUAUUCUCCAAAGCAUAUUUGAAAAGGAAGAUUUGUGGAACCUUAUUGAGCUACAAUCAAUCACCAUUCCAUUGUUAUCUAUAAACUGACCAUCAAAAAUAGAGUUUGAACAACAUAUUACACUUGUUAUUUGAUAGGAAAAGAGAUGAGCUAAAGCCAUAGUACAACUUUUUCUCAUUUUAGAUUUACGAUAGAAUAUAAUUGAUAUCUCAAAUCUAUAAGAUAUUUGGCAAGCAUUCAAUUCUAUAUUUUAGACCAAUACUAUUUUAGAUAUUAUAGUUAUCCUAAAUCAUUAAAAAAACUUUCAAAUGAAAGAGCAACAAGAUGUAGCCAUAUUUAUGUAGCAACUAAAUGACAUUAUCUACAAUCUGAAAUUAAUCAAGUAAGUACUAUCUAAUGAGGUUAUCAUAUAUAGAAUUUUGAAUAGAUUACAUUGUAAUUUUGAUAAGCUUAUUUUACAAAUCCAGUCCAAGAAAGAGAUUUUCAGCCUAGAAAAACUUUGGAAUUGGUUAUAUAUUAAAGAGACUAAUGUUAUUUAAUGACGAUUAUAUAAGACACAUGAUGAAGCACUUAUGAUGCGGAUCCAAAAUAUUUAUAACAAAUUUUUUUAUCAAAACAAACAUCAAUGGAAUCAAUGGCCCUUAAGUGAACCAAAUUUUAUGACUUACAAUGUAGUUAGAAUAAAUAUUAGAAUAAAGCAAUGAAAUUAAAAAAAAUAAUUGAAUGUAGUUAAGUAGGAUAAAUCAUUGAAAAAAAGUCUCAUUUAGGUAUUAAGAAUUGAGUACAAUCAUAAUGGUGGGUAAAACAAUUAUAGUUUAAAAUAAGAUUAAAUAGAAAUAGUGGUGUUAGGUUGAUAAAGGAGUGAAGAAAGGGAUAAAGGAUAGAAAAUAUGUUAUCUAGAUCUUUAAAAUUAAAAAAUAAAUUAAAAUAAUAAUUUUUUUUAGAUAUAUUAUUUCUAAAAAAAAAUAGAAUAAAAAAUACUUCCAAAAGAACUCUCAAUAAUAUCUCAUAAGGAUGUAUUGGGGACUUAAAAAAAUAAAAAUAAAAAUAAAAGAAAACUGAGAGACUAACGACCUACUUUAUUGGACUACUUUAGAUUGUAUUGAUUUUGGUUUAGAUGGUUUUGGAUUAGACAAGUUAUGUUAAUAGUAUUGGAAGAAUGAGGUAUAGAAUGCUAAAAUUUGAAUGCAGCAAAAUUUAUUAUGAAGGUAGCUAAACAACGCGACAAAAGAUGUAGUAUGUAGUAGAUGACAAAAUCAAGCUGUGGCAGAUUUGGUGGAAGACAUGUAUGCUACUUAGACAGUUUUGUAUUCAAGAAAGAAGCAAAGAUUGUGAAAGAAGGUAGCAAUUAGUACUAGAGUUGCAUAGAAGACUAAAUUGUGAUUUAAUUUUAGAGAGUGAAUAGAAGAAUCUCAAAAAGAAGAAGGUGAGUAUUAUGGCAAAAAAAAGUUGUUAGUUGUGGACAUAGGAGUAGAUUCAGAUCAAUAGAGAAGAUUGCGGAUUAGGAGGAGGAUGCAAUGCCAAUUUUAAAGAGCUUGAGUUAGUUGAAAGAAAAGCAAAGGUAUUGAUGCACUAGGUUAGUGUUGAUGGAUCUAAACUCUGUAGCCAUUUCAAAAGAAGUGGUGAGGUGAAGGAUUUAGUAUUUAAGAUUUUCACCAAUAAAAUGUAAUAUUAUCUUUAUCACCAAGCACAUCAUAUAAAUACAAAGGGCUUUAGAGAUACAAACAAUAGCCUCUAUAAACUUGACUAUGUUAACGACUAUUCAUCUCUUUGUAAAAGCUAUAAAACCUCCAAAUUAAUAAGCUUGCUGAAAUAUACAAAUUUUGAGAGUAGUAGUAUCUUAAAAUUAGCACUUCUUAAGAUUAAUCAAAUUAAUUUAAGAGCCUCAAUGAAACCAACAUCACUUAUAUUCAAUAGAACCUUGAUAAAAUAAAAAAAAUCUAAAAAUAACUAAUAUCUUAAAGUCAAUAGACCUUAGAUUUAAUAUUUUUGCAGAAGAAAAAUCAAAAUUAUAGCAUAAGAAACUUAGCUACUUAAGUUAGAGAAACUUACAACUAUUUACCUCUUAAGUAAUUGGUAUUUCAAAUUUUUUUAUUACAAAUCAAACUUCUAUAAUUUUCCAUGAUAUAAAAUAGACUCAAUAAAAAAUAUCAAAAGAAUCUACUAGAUGUACAACAUUCCUAAUGGCUUUCAUAUACACAGACAUAUGUUGACCACUUUCCAUUAAAUCCUUAGGACACAAUUGAUAUUUCUUACUUUUCAUGGAUGAUUACAGUUACUUUUCAUGGAUUUAUUUCUUAACAAUAAAAAAUCAAAUAUUUCAAAUAUUUUAUAAUUUUCAUACUAUGAUAAAAAAUAGACUAUAUAUUAUUACUUUUUAUUUGCAAUCCAAUAAAAGGGGCAAGUAUAUCUUAGUUGAGUUCAUACAAUACCUCCAAUAACAUGGAAUUAUUUGCCAAUUCAAUGUAGCUUGGAUACUUCAACAAAAUAAAAUAUUCAAAUGCAAGAAUUAUAUUAUAUUAAAUUGGAUCCAUGCCAUCCUUAUUAACAAGUGUGUACCUUCUUUCUUUUGAACUAAGGUUGUGCACACCAUAGUUCAACUCAUGAAUAAUAGUCUUACUAAAUCUAACAAAGGCUGAACAUUGUACAAACUCUUUACAAGCAAAUAAUCUAACUUCAACAAAAUUAGAAUCUUUGGAUGCCUUUAUUUUAUUCACUAUGAUUCUAUACAACAUCAUAAACUUAAAACUUACUCUACUUUAGGCAUCUAUCUUAGUUUAGAUAAUAUCUCCAAAGUAUAUAAAAUAUAUCUACUAGUAUUGAAAAAAAUUCAAAUAUCAAAAGAUAUUUUAUUUGACAAAAACUAUUUUCUCAAUAUUAAACAUGACCUCACAUCUAUAAUCAACAAUUCUACUUCUACUUUCUCUUAAAUCAUUAAAUUAUCUUAUAUUCAUCACAUUGAUUAUCUUCCAGAUAUCUCAAAUAUAUAUCUAUUCAAUUUAAAUUCCAACUUGGCAAAUCAAAAUAUCAAAGCAUUAAUUUUAGAAAUCAAACUACUUGAUUUAAUUCUACUUUGGAUGAAGAAAAUUUAUUAAAAACAAUGGUCUCAAAUAUUCAAUCAAACUCAAAAAUCCAAUAGAACCAUCUUUAUGUGACACCAUAGUAUCACAAGCUAAUUUUGCUCUUCACCUUCUCAACCUCAAUAAUGUAGAUGAAUGGCUAACUUUUGAUGUAGCUAAUGAUCUUUUUUCUUAUUCUAAAAUUACUUUUGAUACAUCUUAAGAAUUAAGACAAUUAGGAUCAAGUAAAGUUUAUUGUAUUAGAAAACAUCUAGCUUGGCUUCAAAAGUACUUUUGUAAUUUUUUAGACUUGUCUAUUGAAUCAAAGUUAUAUGAAGAAACAACUUAGGAUGAAGGUUGAAAAAAGUCAAUGAUUGAUGAAAUCAAAUCAAUUCAUGAUAAUAAAAUAUAGUCAAUUACCACUCUUCCUUCAAGCUACCAAGAUACACCAAUAAAAUAGAUAUAUAAAGAAAAAAUAAAAAUAGAUAUCAGUCUACAUAAAAAAAAAAAAAUCACAACUAUAGUUCAAGGUUUUGAACAACAUGAAGGACUUAGCUAUGAAGAAUCUUUUGUUCUAGGAGUCAAAUAGGGCAUCAUAUGAAUACUUUUAGUGAUUUUUGUUUAAAAAAUAUAGCAACUAUAUUAUAUAGAUAUAAUUUUUUUUUCAUAGAGAACUUAAAAAAAAAGUCUAUAUUAUACAAAGCACUUUAUAGCCUAAGAGAAGCACCAAAAGCAUGGUAUGAAAAAAUUGACUCCUUUCUUAAAAAUCAAGGCUUUAUAAAAAGAGAAGGAGAUUAUAACCUCUAUGUUAUUGACUAUCAUGAAAAAAUUCUACUUCUAAUCCUCUAUGAAGAUGAACUUCUAUUCACAAGAAAUUAUAUUAACUAAAAUAGUUGAUUUAAAUCAAAACUUAAAUUAAAAUUUGAGAUGUUGGAACUAAAAAUAAAUUAUAUGAUACUCUAUCCUAAGGUUGAAAUAAUCAAAGUACUAUAAAGACUAUUUAUGAUACAACAAAAUUAUGCAUCAUAAGUAAUUUGUUAUUUUAACCUUGAAAAAUGUCAAUCUAUUUCUAUUUUCAUAGUUGAAAGACUAAACUUAUAAUUAAUAUGAAUAAAGACAUUAUUGAUCUAACCUACUACUAUUCUAUAGUAGCUAAAUUUAUACAAUAAAGUCACUUUCAAUCUGAUGUUUCAUAUUCCAUUGGAAUUGUUAAUCAUUUCAUGAUGAUACUACAAGUUCUACAUUUAAUAGUAGCAAAAAAAAUAUUAAGAUAUAUUAUAAAAACAUUAGAUUAUAGAAUACUCUACCACAAAAAUUUAUCAACAACACUAUCAAGUUAUGUAGACAUGGAUUGGAUAAAAGACUUAAUUGAUGGUCAAUCAAUAAUAGAUUUUAUUUUUAAACUAGGAGCUAGUCCAAUGACUUGGAUUUCAAAGAAACGAGCUACAAUUGCUUUAUCCUUAUUAAAAGUAAAAUACAUGGACUUAUCUAAAAUAUCUAAAAAAUCAACAUGGUUAAUAAAUUCUCAUGUGCUUUUGCCUUAAAGAUUUUAAAACCAAUCCGAAUAUUUUAUAAGAAUGAAAUAAAUAUCAAAAUAGCAAUAAAUCUAAAUAUCAAUCCAUGUACAAAACAAAUAGCCACACAUCAUCAUUUAUAUAAGAAAAAAAUAGAAAAAAAUAAAUAAAAUAAAUUUAUGUAUCCCUUUUAGAGUAAAUAGUUGACAUCUUCACCAAACCAUUAAGGCAUGACCUAUUCAAUAAAUUCAAAUCAAGAUUGAACAUUAUCUCUAUUGAAGAAGUACAAUCUUAAUUACAUUAUCAUCUUUAACUCUCUUAUUGAUUUCAGCAGCUUCUUUAAAUUCAACUAUUUGCUUUUUUUAAGCUAAAGAUACAAUUCUUAAGAAUUGAAGAAGAUAUAAUACUUAGUCACUAAGUAUAGAACUACAAAUUAGUUUUUAAACUAUUACUUUAUAUAGGAAGUUCAUUGUAAUUUUACACAAACAUAAAGCAAAACUUAGAAAUAUCAGUAAUUUCAUCGAAUUGUUAUCCAAAGUAUAGCUUUUUUGUGAUGAACAUACCAAGAUCUUGCAAUUAUUAAGACCAUCUUUGCUAAGCUUUUGAAAAUAAAUUACUAAUACAAAAUUAGCAAAGCUAAAAAAAUUCAUCAUCAAUAACCCUCACAAAACAAACAUCAUAGAAAAAAAAACUUGUAAGUAACAAAAAAAAAAUCUACUAAUUUCAAAAUAAAUUAUUAAUAAUAAAUCACUAUCAUUUAUAAGAAGCUAUUAGUUUUUAGAACUAAGGCUCUUAGAAUAAUUGUAAUUUUUUUCACUAAUUUAUUUUUUAGAUGAUUUUGUAGCAAAAGAGGAUGUAGAAAUAUCCAUCCCUACUUAUCAUCUAUUCUAGAUGAUUAUGAUAUGGACAAAUUGAGAUCCAAACUUAGUAUCAAAUUCUAAAGAAUUAAAUUCUUACACUUAAGAUCAUUAGUUUAUAGUUGCAAAAAUAUAAGUAAAUUUAAUAUUUAAUUUUUUUGAAAUCUUUGUUUUAUUCUUUUCUUUAAAUUAUUCAAACUUUUUGAUUUCAUGUAGAUUUUGCCUCAAUAUCAAUUAUAUGAUAAGAGACUAUCCUUAGAAAUAGGAUGUAUAAUUAUAACACCUUACCUCUAUUCACUAUAAAAAACAUAAUAUAAGGCAAAAGGAGCACCACAUGUAUGGACAAUCUAAUCUAGAAGCUUUAGAGAGGGGAUAACACUAACAUUCAACUAUACUACACCAAAAUAUAAGAUAGACUCGAAUAGAUGUUGACAACUUUAUUGUACUUGAAAAGUAGUAAAAAGCCUAUUGCAAAGUACCACAAUUCAAGAAUGAAUCACUUUCUUCAUCAUCUUCAACAUCCACAGAACAAGCCAAGUAUGAAGAGAAUAUCACCUCAAUAAUUAGCACCUUAGAAGGCAACUCCACUACUUUGAUAAGAAAAUCAAACAAGAUAUUAUAACAAAGUAAUCAAACUAUCUCACUAAGUGAUGCAUCCAUAAUGACCAACCACAUUAUUUUUUCUAAUAUUUAAAUUACAAGCUACUUGGUCUUCAAUGGAUUGAAAAAGAAUCACAUGAUAUUGCUGCUUAUUGCCUCUGUAAAGACAUCUAUCAACUAAUUUGUAAGUAGAGAAAGGCUAGAGUUGCCAUGAUAAGAUAUUAUACAGGACUAUUCAACUUUUUUCUUACAAAAAUAAGACAUAGUUAACAUAGAGAUGCUUUAGCCAUUCAAAGGUCUUUCAAAUAUGCAAGAAAAUAUAAUUGAGAUCCACCUCAAAUCACACCCUUUAAUAGCAUACUAAAGUCUUUAUAAUCCAUAAUUUCUUAUUAAUGAAGGUAGAUUAGUUAUUAUUCAAUAGCUAAUUAUAUGCUCAAUUGUCGCAAUAGCUUCUACUUGUCAUUGACUCGAAUAUUAUUUUGCUCGCCAUUAAAGGAUUUGAAGAUAAUUUAUUAUAUUGCCAUAAUCAAAAUCAAAAAUGGUAAUUCAUAAGAAUGUUAGACCUAAAAUUGCUUAGCCCAACAAACUCUCAAAUCUAAAGCCUAAGUCAAAGUCUAUAGCAAGGAAGAGAUCUUAAUCAAUCUAGCUUAAAAUCAUCAUCAUCAAAGUCAACAAGUGAUUAUAUCUAGAUCUUACAUGGCUACCUAGCACUGAGUAUUCCUACCAUGUGCUUAUGAUUUUAAAACUUUGAACGCUUAAUGAUUAAGGGUUAAACAACUUUUAGAAGAUUUUUUUUGUUAAAAAUUACAUAGAAAAUAUUAUAAGUGGAAUAUUAUCCUCUUAUAGGAAUAUAAGACUUUUGGUAUCAAAGCACUCAACUAAGAUCCUACUAUGUGGCCUUCAAGCAAAAGUUAGAUAAUUGAGGCUGAGAUCAAUUAUAAUAUAGAUGGUAUAAAAGAUCUAAAUAAAGGCAAAAUGAAUACUCUUCUACAAGAAUAACUGGCUCUCAUGGUGAACAACAAUGGAUCAAUUACUUAUAAGGUCGAAUGAAUCUGCUUGAGUGGAUUAUUAGGCAAUAAGGUAGGAAUCCUAAAUGUAUAUGUGCCUAAUAAUAAAUUAUAUAAAUAUAUCAUAUAGCAAAAAUUAACUACCACCUUUUUAAUGAGAUACUGAAAAAUAAUAGGUUGUGAUUUUAAUAUGACAAAAAAAUAAUAAGUGACAAAUCUUUCAACUACAAGUGGCUUCUUGCUAUAGAAGAAAAAAUCAUCUCAGAUCAAUUGAAAGUAGGUCUCAUAUUAAAAGACUUAUUUCUUCAUUUUGAUUUCGUCUAAUAUUCAUGAGACAAUAAAAGAAGGAUUAUUAUAAAAGUAUAGGAUUGCUUGGAUCAAUUCUAUAUAUUUCAAAAUCAAUGCCAAAAGUCUCUACAAAUCCAAUUAUAAGUAUUGUAUUUACGAAGACUAUAGUAUAUUAGACCACUUACUUAUAUCUAUUGAAGUGACGCUGUCGGGGUAGAGAGAGUUUGCCUCAAGAAAACGCUAGGCUUCUGAAUGUCAUUAAUUAUUCAAUCAAGCUUGAAAAUAAGAGAAGCUCUAAUUUUAUAUAUAAUUUUUUCUUUUUUAGUAAUUACACCAAAUACACAAUCCUCAAGUAACCCACAACUUCCAAAAUAUGAUAAAAUCUUCUAAAACCUUGUUUAUUCUUAUGUGGAGAUUUUCUCGAACUUCAACAUCUCAUAUCUCCUAAUCCGACCGUCCAAACAAACUCAAAUUUUACAAGAAGUACUGAUGUAUUCUUAUUAACUUCUACAACAAAUUUCAACUGCAAAUUCAUUGCAGAUCUUGAGAUAUCUUGAAAAUCCUAACGGUCGCUUCAAACCCUUGUCUUUAUACAUCCGCGUGAAAUGUUCUUCAUAUCUCACAAAAUAUAAGCUCAAAUUCCACGAAAUUUGUAUGUAUGGCUUUUUAACACAAAAAUUUACAUUCUCCAAAAGUUUGAGCCAAAAAUUCAUCCGAAUACUCAAGUUAUGGCUCCAACCAUUACUACAAACAAAACCGCUUACUUAUUGCCUUAGAUUUGGAAGCGCUGCCUUCAACUCCUUACAACUCCUUCAUAUGAACUCCAAAAGCAAUAAUUCUUUCAUGAAAGAUGUAGGCCUUGAAAUCGCCGUUCCAGUCGCACCUUUCAAUCUUCAAAAGCUACUGUAAAACUCUUCGUACUCUCAAAAGAGUAACCGUAUGUCUUUAAUAAACACCUUAACUUCAAACGGCUAUAACUUUUUCACCCUAACUCCAAAUCCUCUAAUUUUUGCACACAAAAUGUACCCCAAAUCCUAAAAUUUGCAACCUUAGCUUAUAAUCUCCGAAUGCCCUCUUUGAAGUCACCGAAACCCUUCUUAAGGUCGCGGGCAGCCUCCUCAAAGCCCAUUGGGCAUGGUAUUCGACCAAUAGGGAUGAAGUUCCCCAUUCCAUGUCCUUCAUCCGACCAUGCCUUGCUUUCAUCUCUUUCAAUUAGCCUCCUACUAGUUUAGAUUUUCAUCCUUAGGUUUCACCUUCUUCCAAGGCUUCAUACUAAAUAUUUAGGUCCUAUAUAUAUAUAUAUAUAUAUAUAUUAAUGUCAAAAACAAAAGAAGUAAAGAAAUAAAGUAAAGUUUUUUAUACCAAAUCCUUUUAAUUUAAUCUACUAGCCACUCUAAUACACAUCUAGAUUUAUCAACAUAUAAUAUGUUUUAGCUAAUUUUUACAUACUAUAAGCAUUUAUAGUAUAACAACGCUCUAAGUCAAAGGGUCCUUUAAACCAUCUUAUAAAUUAAAUACUUGGUAUUUCAUAGAUAAAAAAGUCCUUAUGGCCGUUCAAAGAAUAUAGAUUAAAUUAGAUAUAACAAAUUCUAUGUUUCUUUGCCAUUUCCAUCAUUUCACCAAGUUUUACAAGAUUUUCUACUUUCAAAGAAUAGAAGAGAGUUAAAAGAUCAAAACAUAUGGUCAAACUAGCAUUAAUCAAUAAACAUGUCUAUUUCAAGUCCAAAUUACAAACAUUUCUAAUCUUAGCUUGACAAAAAUUAGAUGUACUAAAAUCCAUUGAAGCACAAAAAUUACAAAGAAUUUGUAAUUUUACAUGCAUUUGGUGGAAGAAACGAUCCAUGAAUUCUAUCAAGCUGUAAAAGAAAAAUUAGAUAGAUAUCUUAUUAUUCAAUUUAUCAACUAGAAUAUCAAUAUAAUUACAAGCAAUUAUAUAAUUAAUGGGGCAUAUAUCAACUUCUAUCAAAUCUUAUACAUUGUGCAAUACUAAAACAAGUAUUUGGAAGAAAUAAUAGAAGAUAUAUUAAAUCUAAUAUCUAUUGCUCUCUUGGCUGACUUAGCCAAGCUUUUGAUCCAAGCUUUUGAUUCAAGCUUUAUUUGAUGCAAAACUACUCAAGAUUAUAAUUGAUAAGGUAAUGAAGUGGCCUUCACUUUUUUCAUUAGAUUUUGAAAUAUCAUUGGUACAGAUUAUAGGUAGAUGGUAUGUAUUGUGGUAAAACAAGGGGCCUUUUUAUAAGAAUUCACUAUUAGAAUCAUUAUUCUAUAGUCAAAAAGAAGGAAUUACAUAUAGCUUGGAAAUUGACAUUCUAUAAUUUUAUUAAAUGUUAUGUAUAAAAUCAAUAUCAAAGCUCAUAAACUUUGUUCAAAGAGAUUUUUUGUAAUAAUCAUCAAUCUAGAUUAGAAUACCUUCCUACUAUAUCAAUAUAUCUUCAACAAUAUCCUUCUUUUACAUAAAAUACUUAAUUGAGCCAAAAAAUUCAAACAAGAAAUAAUUUUUUUGAAGCUUGAUUUUUUCAAAGAUUAGAACCAUGUUGAAUGGAGUUUCUUCACAUGCACCAUACUCAAGAUGGAAUUCCCUCUAGCAUUUUUUAAUAUAAUUUAGUUGAAUUUUGAAGGAAAAAAAGUAGUAAUUAAUGUAAAUGGAUAGUCAACCACCACCUUCUUGAUUAACUGAGAAGUACAAUAAGAAUGGCUAUUUUUUCAUAUUUAUUUUUAAUUAUUGGAAAAGCUCUCAAUACUCACUUUUACAUGGCACAAUAAUAAGAGAAGAUCUAAAAAAUAUAAUUAUCAAAUUCUAUGGUGCAAAAAACUAUUUUUAAAUGUGUUAAUGAUACAACCUUUUUUAUAUGUAUUAAUCAAACAUUAUUAUAGCACCUAAUUUCUAUUAUUGAUAUUUUUAUAAUAGUAUUAAGUUUGAUCUUCAACUACACCAAAUUAGGCACUUACACAAUCAAAAAAUCCAAUCAAAUUUUUACUUGGACUUGUAAUUAUAAUUAGAUGUAGACCUCUGAUUGACAAUUAUUUGUUUACUAUAGAUGCUUUCCACAUCUCCAUUUGAAUACAAGAUCAAAAUAUUUUUUUCCUCAACAAGAUCAAAUCCAAUUUUAUUUUUUGAUAUUCUAUCCAUAUUUUUUUUCAUUUUUUGAUAUUCUAUCCAUUUUUGUUUGAGGGCUAUUAUUAUAUUGUAUUUGGAUACGAUAUAAAAAAACUAGAUAAGAACUAUGAAAUAUAUUAGUUCUUAAUUUUUAAUUUUUUUAUUAAAUAAAAUAUUUAGAAAAAUAAUUAAAAAUUAAAAAUAAAUAAAUAAUUUAAUUUUAGAUUAAAAUAUAGAUUAAUAAUAAAGUAUUUAGAAUAUAAAAUAUAAAUAAGUAUAUAUAUAUAUAUAUAUAUAUAUAUGCAAAUAAAUCUUGUUAGUAAGAAAUUUUGAAGUUGUUAGAACAAAAAUAAAAAAACUGAAAUUUAUAGAAUAAAAAAUGGGAUUUAGAAUAAUUAAUUAUUAGAAGGUUUUUUCUAUAUAAAUAUGGUAGACAAGUUUUUAGUAGGUUUGUAAAUAUGUAUUCAAAUUUUGAUAGAAAAAAAUAUAUUUUGUGAGAAAUAGAGAUUUAAAAAAGAGUAUGAAGUUAGGCAACAAGCUUAUAAGGAGAAGAAUUGAGGCUUUGGAUAUCAAGUGGUGGCAUGGGCUUGUGGAGGUGGAUGGAUGGUAAGGUACUUGAGUAGUAAAUUUUAUAAGAAAAUAAAUAUAUAUAUAUAUAUAUAUAUAUAUAUAUUCUCUAAAAUUCCUCAAUUUAUUUAUUCAGAAUAUCUAAAAGAAUGACCUUACAAUGCUUACAUUAGAAGAUUGUGUUGGAUGACAAAAGCACUCCUUGCUUAUAGGUAGGAGCAAAAAAAAUCUAUAAUAAUAGCAUAAUGUAUGAUAUCCACUCUUUCUACAUAUUUAUCUUUUUGAUAGAUUGGUGUACAGCUUCUCCUAAAACAAAAGAAGCAAUAAAUAGAUAGUAGCUAAAGUGAGAUGACAUCAAUCCUUUGAAAUUUUUAACUUAAUUUUUUUUUUAUUUAAGAUAUACAAACUUCAAAUAAUAUAAAAAUUUAAGAUUUAAGAUUUGGAAGUAAGAUUUAGGAUUUAAGAUUUAAAAAUAGAAUAAGAUUUAGGAUUUUUUUAAAAAGAUAGCAACCGUUUUGAAAGGAAAAUAUAAGAAAUCUUAAAAGAGGUUUUUGCUCUUCUCAGUCUUAUUUUACAAACAUUUAAUAAAUGGAUUUUUUGAUAAUAUAAAGAAUAAGGAAAUUUUAUAAAAGGUUCAUAUUUUAUUGAGUGUUGUAUAUGUUUUGAAGCUUAUAAGAAAGUAGAGUAAUUAUUAAUAGCUAAAAGCCUUAUAUUUUUCUAAGAAAAAUUCUUUUUCUAUAAUAUAUUGGUACUUCUCUUAAAAGAGCCUGAAGGCACUUGUUGUUCUAUUAGAUAUGAUAAAUAAUAAUGGUUUAGAAUUUAGAAUGCUAAGAGAAUUUGUUUUAAAAGACUAAUUAUAAAUAAUUGAAUAAUUUAUUGAGUAACAAUAAGAAGUUUAAAAGAGUGACAAGAAUACCACAAAAAUCUUGCAAGUUGUGGUUGAUAAGAUUGGAAGUUUCAAAUUAGGAAACUUCACCAAAUUCCUUAGGAUCUAUGUAUGCAAGAUGGAAGUACAUCAAGUUCUAUUGAUAAAAAUGAUUUUUGUUUUUGAUCUUGUUAUUGUUCUCGAAAUAAAAAAAAGAUUGAAAGAAUUGUAUAAAAACUCUAGUUUUUAGAAUAAAUUUGUGGAAUAUCUCAAAGAUAAAUUUUUUGAAGAAGCUUCAAAAAGAAUAACAAAGAUUUUAUUUUUAGAAUAGACUAAACAAAGGUAUGGAUAUCAAGUGGAUCGAAUUAAAUUAAUUAAGGAUUUUGAGAAGAAAUUUGAUCAAUUUCUAAGGUAUGAAAGAUAAUUACUUGGCAUAAGGAAAACUAAGUUAUUUUUAUAAGCAACAAAUGAUAAUUUGGAAAACAAAUUAUUCUUUUAUUUAAUAGAUAGUACAUUUAAAAAUGACUUUACUAAUCAUUGAAAAAAGAUGAAGGAGACAUUUGGACUUUUAGCUCAACAACAAAAGUUCAAAAUUCAAGAUUAUCUGGCAUAAUUAGAUUUAGUGCUCAUUGUCCAAAUUUCAUUAUCAACUCAAAAUUUAAAUAAGGCUAUUCACAAUGAAGAAUUAGAAGAAUUAAUCAAAUCGAAGAGUGAUUUAAAGAUGAAAAUGAUAGAAUUAAAAAGAUUCGAAAAGCUUAAUUCAUCAAUUAUUUUAAAAGAACCUAAGAGAUAUGCAAAAAGAUUUAUAUAAUGUAAUAGUUUAGACCACUAAUACAAUGAAUGUGAUAACUAUUAAGCCAUAAUGAUAGAAUAUAUUAUUCAUUUCAAUGAAAAAAAGAUAAAACUUUGAAGCUCUAAUGAAUGUCUAAAAAUCAACUUUGAGAAUAGAAGUAAAAAAAAUUAUUUAAAAUAGAAACCAAUAAGAGUUGUACCAUAUUUGAAAGAAAAUCAGAGUCUUAUACUAUUAAGGUGGAGCAAAGAAAAGUGAAGAUUGUAGAUUGAGCAACAAUCGAUGCUAUGAAGAGAUGAACUGAGGUUAUUAGAAAAAUAACUAGAUACGAAGAUUUGAUUGAUGCUAUGAGCAUUAGAGAUUUUUUAGGUAAAGAUCAAUAAGUUGUUGGUCUAUAUCAUGUUGCGGUUGAAGAAAAGAGAGACAAAGCUACUCAAGAAGAAAAUUCUAUUAAACUUUUUAAUAAAAAAUAAUAUUAGAAAAGAAAAAAAUAACAAAUAAGAUGCAACAAAGAAGGUCAAAGAUAAUAAUCUUAUCUAUAAACUUCAAUCUAAUAUUGAAAUAUCUAUUAAUAUAAAAAAUAUUUUAGAUGAAAUAAUUUUAAAUACCAAAAUCGAAUUUACCUUAAGAAUAAUUUUUGGUAUAGCAAAAAGAGAUUUCCAUGAAUUGAUCAUUGAUGUAAUAAAAAAAAGAGACAAAUGGUAGCCAAGGCUAUUAUGAUUGAGGUAUUUAAUACUUGAAAGUAAUAGAAAGUCAAAAAGUUGGUGCUAGCUACAGACUAAAACAUGAAGCUAUGGUUAAAAUAAAAUAUAAUGUAGUAUCUAAGAAGAUGAAAUCAGUAGCUAUUGAGUUACUACUCAAUAUUAUGGAAUAUAUCAAAUAAGUAUUUAAAGAUCUAGAAUUAAAGGAGAAGCAAAGAAUUGUGCAUCAAUUCAUUAAAGAGUCAUUGAUUAAUCUAAAGAUUGGAAGAGAUGGAUUUUUAACAACACUAGAAAAGAAGAUGUUUCAAAAAAUGUUUAUUAGAUAUAAUAAGGUAUUUGCCUUCAUUUCUAAUGAAAUAGGUUGUAUGGAUCUUAGUAUUAUUGUACAAAUGGUAAUUUUUACAAUACCACAUGUUCCAUGGAAUUUGAAGUCUAUUCUAGUAUCAAGAGCUUUAUUUCCUAAAUUGAUGGAAUUAUUAAAAAAGAAAAGAAAAGGUGAAGAUAGAAAUUUUAGAAUUUUUAAUUAUUCUUAUUCGAAUAAAUUGUUUAUAUUAUCUAAGAAAUCAAGAGUAUUGAGAUUCAUUCAAGAUAUACAAUUAUUAAAUAAAUAAUAAUUAAAAAUAUGGGAUUCAAACUGAUUGUAAAUAAAGUAAAAAAAAAAAAUUAUUGAUCAUGCUAUCUAUUCUAUUAGAGACUUAUAUUCAAGAUAUGAUCAAUUUUAAUUUGUAGAAAAAAAUAGAAAUCUUACAACCAUGAAAACUUCUUUGAGUUUGAUGAGGAUAUAUACCUUGUUUCAAGAUACAACCAAUUUAGUGGAUUAUAUGUAAUAUAUAAUGAAUCAAAUAUUAAAAGAAUUUGUGCCAAAAAAGACCAUUUUAUUUUUAGAUGAUAUACCAAUGAAAGAUUGCAAGUAUGAAGAAAGAAAUGAAAUCAUUGAUGCAAAUGGUUGAAAAAUAUUUACUAAAAAAUAUAUUGAAGUUAUGGCUUGAAUAUUAGAAAAGUUUGAAUCAAUAAAUUUAACAUUAUCUUUGAAAAAAUUAAGUUUUGGAAUUGAAGAAAUUCUAGUAGUAGAACAUGGAUGUAAAAAAUAUAGUAGAAAAAUAAACCUGGAUAAAGUUAAUACUAUAUUUAAAUUUAAAGCAUGUAAUAAUAUUACUAAAGUUAGAAGAUUUUUGGAUGCAUGUGUGUUUUAUCAUAUUUGGGUGUCUUGUUUUGUCCACACUUCAGAACUACUUUAUAAAUUAUUGAAAAAGAGUAAAAAUAUUAUUUGAAAAGAAGAGCAUAAAGAAGCUAUAAAAAAUUUAAAAAAGGUUUUAACUCUACUAUCUAUCUUUAGAUAAGUAGAUUAUUAAUGUAAAAGACUGAUAAUAUAAAUGAUGGAUAUUAAUCCAAUAGCAAUUGGAUAGAUUAUUGAACAAAACUAUUAAGAAAAAAAAAUAUUUUUUAUAAGAUUUGGAGCCAAAAUUCUUGUAAAUAGAAAAAAGAUACAUCUAUAAAUUAAGCAAGAACAUUAGAAAGUACUUAAGAUUUUAAAAAUUAAAAGGAAUUAUUUGAUUGGAGCUAAUGUGGUUUUAGAUAUGAAUUUUUUGCCUCUACUUAGCAUGAUAAGUAAUUGUUCUAUUCUACAUAUUAUUAUAUUUAGAUAGAUAGCUUACAUCUAGAUAUUAAAUUUGAUUUUAGAACAAAUCAUUGGCAAAGAUAAUUUGGUGGAAAAUAUGUUAUCUAAAGCUAGAUAUAUUGAUGAAGAGGAGAUCAUGGCUUGUGAAAAUGAAAAAGAUAGAAAUAAAAAGAACAAUGGAUAUUUAUUUGCUAUCAAAAAAGUGAGUUGUAAAGAUAGAAUUCAAGUCUUUCAAGAAGAUCUAUAUAAAAAGAGGCUUCAUGAUAUUGGAAUUAAUUUGAAUACAAUGAAGAAGCAAGAAGGUUUAAUAGAUAAGAUUUUUAAAUAUAUUUGACAUCCAUUCUAUGAUUAUCUUUUUAAACAUGGAUUUUUAUAGAAGAAACCAAAAAAAGGUGAUAAAUUCCCAUUGUAGAUAAUAGAAGUUUUAAUGACUAAAAAUAAGAUUUUAGAAGAAUUUUAUGAUUAUCUUUGGAUUAAAAAUAGAAGAGUUUGGACUACUUAUAUCAAAAUCAAAGAAACGUAUUGAUACAAGAAUUAUUCAAAGAUGUAAAAGACUUUCUAGACUCUUAUAUAAAUUGCCAAAUACAAACUAAGAUUAAAUGUAAGGAUGGGCUUUGAUCUAUGUAUUUUUCUUCAAUAUAUUUUCAAUGGAAGAUUGAUUUGGUAGCUAUACCAUGUAGACUUUGGAGUAUGAAAUAUUUGGUUUUAAUAAAGAAAGAACUAUCAAAUUUCAUUGAAGGAAGGACUUUAAGGACUAAGUUUUUAGAAGGAGUAUGUUGAUUUAUACUAGAAGACAUCUUUAGUAGGUUCAUAAGUAUUAGAAGUAUGAAAAUAGAUAGAAGAGAAUUAAAUAGAAUAGAAAAAAAAUUCUUUAAAAAAUAUGGAGUUUAAUUAAAAUUUACUACUUCUUAUAAUUUAGAAAAAAAUGAUAAAAAUAAAAGAUAUCAUUUUCUUAUUAUUAAUGCAUUUGUAAAAAUUUAUCAAGAUAAAUCAAAGAAAUGGCUAAAAUUGCUUCUAUUUUCAUUAUGAAUUUGUAUUUUUGAAUAAUAUAUAAAAUUAGAUAAAAACCAUAAAAUAUAAUAUUUUUUAGUUUAUUAUCUUUUUAAUAAAUAAAAUAUUUUAAAAAAUAAUUAAAAAUUAAAAAUAAUCAUAUUUAAGAUUAAAAUAAAGAUUAAUGAAAAAAUAUUUAGAAUAUUUUAUAUAUAUAUAUAUAUAUAUAUAUAUAUAUAUAUAAAUGUGUGUAUAUAUGUGUGUAUUUAUGUAUGUUUGAGUGAAUUCUAUUAGCAAGAAGUAUUUUAGUUAUUAGAAAAAAAAAUAAAACUAAUUUUAUGGAAGAAAAAAAUAAGAUUAAGGAUAAUUAAUUAUUAGACUGUUUAUUUAAUAUAAAAUUUAUUAUACGUACUCUUAGUAGGUCUAUAAAUAUAUUGAUAAAUGUUUUUAGAAAAAAAAUUAUAAUUUGUAAAAAAUAAAGAUUUAAAGAACGAAAAGAGAUCAAACAACAAAUUUAUAGGAAAAAGAAUUGAGGCUUUGGAUAUCAAGUGGCAACUUGGGCUUGUAGAGGUGGAUAGAUGAUAAGGUGCUUUAAUUGCAUCUAAAAGGUGUUGGAUUUGAAAUCCCAUAGUAGCAUAUAUGAAAGAAUAGAAGAAUAUUUUUUAAAAUUUCUCAAUUUAUUUCUUAAAAAUAUCCAAAAGAUUGGCCUUACAAUAUUUGCAUUAAGAAAUUAUGUUAGAUAAUAAGAACACUUCUUGCUUAUAGGCAAGAAUAAAGAAUAUUUUUUAAUAAUAGCAUGAUGUAUGAUAUCUAUUUCUUCUAUAUAUAUAUAUAUAUAUAUAUUGAUAGAUUAGUCUAUAGCUUCUUCUAAAAAAGAAGAAGCUAUAUGUAGGUGGUUGCUAUAAUAAAAUAGCAUCAAUCUUUUAGAAUCUUCAAUCAAUUUUUUUAAAAAAUAAUUAAGCUUUAAAUUAUGUAAAAAUUUAGGAUUUAUAAAUAGAAUAGAAUUUAGGAUUCUUUUUGAAAAGGUAGCAAUCUUCUUGGGAAGAAAAUAUAAAGACUUUCAAAAGAGGUUUUUGCUCUUUCAAAUCUUGUUUUGUAAAUAUUUAAUAAAUAGGUUUAUUAACAAUAUGAAGAGUAAAGAAAUUUUAUAAAGAAUUCAUGUUUUAUUAAGUGUUGUAUAUAUUCUAAAAUUUACAAGAAAUUAAGGCAAUUAAUAGCAAUCAAAGGCCCUAUGUUUUUUCAAGGCAAAUUCUCUUUCUAUAACAAGAUACAUUCAUUGUGAACCAAAUACUAUUUUCAAUUCUAUGGUUUUUUAUUUAUAUACGGACAUGAUUGUAUAAAAUUUUAAAAUUAAUUAGGGUCAUACUAUUGAAUUACCAAUAAGCUAAUAAAGAGCACUAUACUAGGGCAAGAGCAGAUUUGAAAAAAAUUAUAUAAGGUUUAAGCCUCAUUGACUUGAAAGAUGCAAUGUAUUGCAUAUUAAGCUGUCACGGACCAAAAAUACAAACAAGAAAUCUAAACAAGAAGUUCAAGAAGAAAUGACAAGAACUAGAUUAUCAGAUGAGUACAAGAGCAACGCCAAGAGAAUUGAGCUAGAGCUUCAAGAGAUGUGUUGUCGAGACUGAAGAACUCUUCAGCCUCAACUCCUAUAUAUACUACUGGCCUAUGGUUCUAAGGAAGCGCAUCAAGAAGCUUCCCAAGAACUAUGAAGCUUCUCGAGCAACUACCCAAGAGCUAGGAAGCUUCUCAAGUAACUUCCUAGAAUCUACUAGAAUAUUCUAAGAAUCUUCUAGAGCCUUUUAAGGAAAUCUUUAGGGAAUCUUCAAAGAAUCUUUAGAGAAUCUUUGAAGAAUAUUCUAAGAGAAUAUUCAAAGAAUCUUCUGGAAGUUUCUAGAGACUUCUUUCUAGAAGGUUCUAGAAACUUGUCUCUAGAAAGGUCUAAGGACUAUGUCCCUAACAUCACCUCCUCCUUUAGCUUCGAGGUCUCCGAGAAGCAAUGUUAUCGUCAGUCAAUACCAACGCAAGAAAAUGAAGAUCUGUCGCAUAACCUCUGCUAUGAACUCCAAUUGUUGUUCACGAGGCAAGUGAUUCAAUGGUCCUUGAAGCCAACGGUAGUAGCCCACGCCUUCAACUUCUGACCAAGCAUGAACCUCCGUGUCUUCAUUGUGAAAUUGUCCUGCAAACACUCCUUCUGGCUGACUAUUGUAGGCAGGCUCGACCUCAAAUACAAUCACCAGCGAUCUGUUGCUCGGAAUCCUUCGACGUCGUCGUGGUGCAAGCGGUUCUUCAUCUCGCGGUCGUCGUCGUGAGCUAGUUGCUUGAGAUGACAUGACAAGUGUAGUAUCUUGGCUAUCCAUAUUCAAAGGCUAAAAUAAUAAGAACAAACUUGGGCUACUAACAAAGUUCUACGCUAUCUUGGAGAGAAUGACUACAUCAACUAUGGAUUUUGGUGGUGCUCUCUCCUCUUUUCUGUUUUCUGGAUGAGCAAGCUUCAGCAAGAAGCUAUCGUCGAACCGGAUUGGGUUUCUCGAGAUAUCGUCGAUGAAACUCCUGUACCUUUUGCGACGCAUUCGCGAGAUUUUUGGCCGGCUCCCAUGUUCGUUCAUUAAUAUCGUAACCGCUCUAAUGCACAAAGUAUUCUAAUUUAUCCCGUCUUUGUCGUGAAUCCAGGACCUUUUCCACCUCGUAUUCUUCGUGGUUCUCUAUUUCUAUGCUAGGUGGUGGACAUUGUACUCUUCCAGGAAAAGACGAUUCUCGAUAAGGCUCCAACAAAGAAACAUGAAAGACAGGAUGUACCUUCAUAGUAGCUGGUAACUCCAGACGAUACGCUACAGGAUUGAUCUGCUUCUGGAUAACAAAUGGUCCCAAUCUCCGAUAGUCCAAUUUAUCACAUGGCCGCUUGGUCUUAAUAUUUCGUCGAAGCAGCCAAACUUUGUCUCCAAUCAUGAAUUUAGGUGCGUGAUUCCGAAAUUUAUCCGCGGGCCGAUAAGUAAUAACAAAGUCGAACCUGGAUAGCGACAUACUCCACCGAGCUUGACGCCGAUUCAAAACCCGAGCCAACAUAAAAUACUCCAAAUUCUUGUGAUCCAUAUAUACGGUCACUGGAUGUGCAGUUCCUUCGAGAAAGUGGCGCCACUCUUGGAAAGAAUCUACUAUAACAAGGAGUUCCUUAUCGUGGAUCUCAUAGUUAAUCUCAGCAGCAGAGAAUUUUCGAGAAUAGAACGCAACUGGAUGGAGCUUCUCAUCUACGCCUAUUUGUGAAAGUACAGCUCCCAAAGCAAAAUCCGAAGCAUCUGUCUCCAAAUAAAAGGCCUUUGUAAAGUCCGGAUGUACCAAGAUUGGAGCUGUAGUAAAUACCAUCUUCAAAUCUUGAAAUGCUUUUUCUGCGAUAGGUCUCCAUUCGAGCUUGUCCUUAUACGUUAACCGAGUGAGGGGGGCAGCAACUUGAGAAUAAUUCUUGAUGAAGAUCCGAUAAUAGUUAGCAAAUCCAAGAAAACAUUGUACGUCCCUAACCGUCUUCAAAACUUCCUAAGACUUGAUUGCUUCCACCUUCUUUGGAUCCAUCUUCAAGCCUUCCGUAGUCGCGAUGAAUCCCAAAAACUCCAUCUCAGUUUGGUGAAAUAAGCACUUCUUCAAUUUGGCAUAGAGUCCUCGCUCCCGUAGUUUUUUGAGUACCAAACGAACGUGCUUCUCAUGUUCUUCCUCGUUCUUAGAAAAUAUCAAAAUAUCAUCUAGAUAGAUGACAACAAAAUCGUCUAGAUGCUCUCGAAAGAUAUCAUUCAUCAUGUGUUGAAAGACCGCUGGAGCAUUAGUAAGACCAAAUGGCAUGAUAUUGUAUUCAAAAUGGCCAUACCUUGUUCGGAAUGCUGUCUUCCAUUCAUCUCCUUCUUUAAUUCGCACAAGGUUGUAAGCUCCCCUUAAGUCAAUCUUUGUAAAGAUCCUUGCACGCCCAAGUUGUUUUAGAAGACCAGAGAUCAAAGGCAGUGGGUAGCGAUUCUUUUUUGUCACCUUGUUGAGACCUCGAUAGUCCACGCACAUCCGUAGUGAGCCGUCCUUCUUCUUCACAAAUAAGAUUGGUGCCCCAGCUGGCGACUUCGAAUGACGGAUGAAGUUCUUGGCUAGAUUCUCGUCAAUGUACUUCCGCAACUCAGUCUGCGACAAAUUGUAGAUUGGUCCAAAAGGUGGUUGUGCUCUUUCUUGCAAUUCAAUGGCACAGUCAUAGGGUCGAUGCUCUGGCAGCAUAUCAGCAUUCUUCUUUUCAAAGACAUCUUUGAAUUCUUCAUACUGCUUUGGAAUAACCAAAGUCGGAGUUGCAUCUUCUCGAGUCGGAGUUGCAAAGAUGACAAGAGGUGUAUUUUGCUUGGCUUCCUUCAUGAAAGCCCUUGCACCUAUAAACAAGGAUUUGUUUCUAGACAUUGUCUUUGCAGAUUCCACCUUCAAGGAAUUUGUUGGAAAUUUCACUUUCCGCAACUUCCAAUCUAUCAAUGGAUUAUAUCUAUCAAGCCAAGAUAGUCCCAAAAUGAUAGGACAUGAAGGGGUCUUGAUAACAUUAAACACAAUAUUGCUCUCAUGGUUUUCAAGACGUACCUUCAAUGGUUUAGUUUCAUGGAUAACAUUGCCCGAAGACAAUGGUCGUCCGUCUAUGACUUCUAUAUGGACAGGCUUAAGUUUCUUUACAAGAGAAAUAUUGUGAAGCUUGGCAAACUCUUCAUCUAUAAAGCAAGCGGAUGCACCCGAGUCUAAUAAAGCAUCGACUUAUAGUUCUUGAAUACCCAGAUAUAAAGGUACCAUAAAAUAAUCUGAAGGUUGAGCUGAGAGAAAGGGACCUUGAUUAAUUUUGGAUGUUGAGAUGUCCAGCCGCACGGUCCCUAUUGUGGCUGGGCGUCCUUGUUUUCCUGCAUGCUUGUACUCCUGAGUCUUGUUGUUUGAGGCUUCUGUUUCUUCCGACAAUCUACAGCUUUAUGGCCCGCUUCUCUGCAAUAUAAACACAAGUUUUGUUCAAACCGUCGCUUCCUUUUCUCAGCUGUGAGGGGUUUAAAACGUACCGCAUCAAUUUGCAUGGGUUCAGGAUCUGUGGAGUGAUUCUCUGGACCUUUUGAAAAUGUAGCAAAUGCUCCAUCAUUUCUCCAGCCUGAUCGUCUUUCUUGUCGUAAUUCAAAGAGGCGGUUGUCACAAAUAAUUGCCUGAGAUAUAAGUUCUUCUAAAGUAUCCGCCUUAGGCAUGGUGAUCAAUAAGUUCUUGACAUCAUCUCUCAGUCCAUAUCGAAAUCGUGUCAUGAACACCUUAUCAUUCCAAUCAAGAUCACAUGUAAGCUGUUGAAAUUCUGCAGCAUAGAUUGCAGCAGAACGUGAUCCUUGUCGCAGAUUUUGUAUCUUUCUUUGAGCCACUCUUUCUGGAUUGCUAUCUCCAAACGCAGCAGUAAGUCUCUCUAUGAAAGCCUCUAGGUCGUACAAUAUUGGAGAAUCCUUCUCCAAUAGUGGAGUAAACGAAGAGCGAGCAUUUCCUGAUAGAAGAGUACCUAUGAAAGCAACCUGGGUAAAUCCAUUCGGAUAACGAGAAGGGUAUAGGCGUAGGUAAAGCCGUACUUGUUGCACAAAACCUCGGAAGUUGGCUCUUGUUCCGUCAAACUUGUCUGGCAUACUCGCUUUUGGUUCUUUCGUACUAAUCCUUGAAGUAUCCAUAGGGGUCGUAUGUAACACAUGUCUUGCUUCUCUCAGUCGAAUAAUCUCUUGUUGUAGGCUUUGAAUUUCGCGUCUAGCUUCUUCGGUCACUAGAUCAAUUUGAGGUUCUUUACUUGGAUUGCGAAGAAAUGCAAUCUCCUUUCGUACACUAUUCGUAAGAGCUUGAAGAUCUGGAAGAGUUGCCACUCUAUUGUCUACUUGUGGAGAUGCACUGUCUAUGACCUGGUCUACUUCCAUAUUUAGAGAAUAGAUGGAUUAAAAUUUUGAGAGAAGAAGAAAUUGCUAAGUCUCUUGGAGAAAAUUGUAGCACUACCUGCCACUAAAACCUACUCGGAGAAAAGAAAAAAAACACUAAACGAUUUCAGUUUUAGAGGAGGGUAAUCCGCAACCUCUAAAAAUGCCUCAAUGCUUUCGAGAAGAGGGGUAAUCCGCACUCUAUCAAGAAGGCAAAGCUCUGAAAUCGAUGUUAACAGUCUUUUUUACUAGCUAUGCUAAACAAAAAGAAGGAAUUAAUAUCAGUCCAAGAGAGGAUAAUCCGCAACCCUUAGAAUGCUCAAGUAUCUCCAAGGAAAGGGGUAGUCCACUCUCUGCCUCAAAGAACUAAGCUCUGAUAUUGUGAUUGAGAAAAUAUCAGUUUAGAGGAAGAUAAUCCGCAACCCCUAAAGCGCUAGAAUACCUUCAAGAAGAGGGGUAAUCCGCUCUCAAACAAGAAAGAUUCAGCUCUGAUAUUAAGAUAAAGGUAGUCUCGACAAAUUGUCACGGACCAAAAAUACAAACAAGAAAUCUAAACAAGAAGUUCAAGAAGAAAUGACAAGAACUAGAUUAUCAGAUGAGUACAAGAGUAACGCCAAGAGAAUUGAGCUAGAGCUUCAAGAGAUGUGUUGUCGAGACUGAAGAACUCUUCAGCCUCGACUCCUAUAUAUACUACUGGCCUAUGGUUCUAAGGAAGCGCAUCAAGAAGCUUCCCAAGAACUAUGAAGCUUCUCGAGCAACUACCCAAGAGCUAGGAAGCUUCUCAAGUAACUUUCUAGAAUCUACUAGAAUAUUCUAAGAAUCUUCUAGAGCCUUCUAAGGGAAUCUUUAGGGAAUCUUCAAAGAAUCUUUGAAGAAUAUUCUAAGAGAAUAUUCAAGAAAUCUUCUGGAAGUUUCUAGAGACUUCUUUUUAGAAGGUUCUAGAAACUUGUCUCUAGAAAGGUCUAAGGACUAUGUCCCUAACAUAAGCAAGUGGAUAGUCAAGGCUUUUGAAUCAAUAUACAUCUUAUGCAAAUAUGUGUAUUGAUUCAGAAGUCUCUUCAUUUUUUUGUAGCACAAACUUGCAUAUUAUAGAGUUAUUAAAGGCAACAUUUGAAGCCUCAACUAGAAUUGGUAUAUAAUUCAUGGAUAUCAAAAACCUAUAAGCUUUAAGAUACAUAUUCAAAUCCGUCAUGCAUAGCUAAAAGUUAUAAAAUCACUCUAUUAGAAGAGCUCCUAAUUAAGAGAUAAUGCUGAAAAUGUUUAUCUUUUAUUUAGUUACAAAAUUAAUUUUACUUCCUGCUUGGUAUUCUUUAUGUAGAGAAGUGUAAUAUUAUGUAAAGUUAGCCUCUAUCAUAUGAAGGAUUGUUGAUUAUAAGCAUUGCAACAAAAUCUCAUUUUGAACAAGAUUAGAUACUAAUUUUUAGUCUUAGAUGAAAAAGAUCAUGGUUCAUAAAUAAUAAUCUAAGUUCUCCAUGACUGAUUUAAAAACUUAUGAAGUAGUAACUCAAAUAUUAUCAAGUCAAAGAAUUAAGUGGGAAUCUAUAUUCCAAGAUCAAUUAUACACUCUAUUCUUAUAGUAAAGACUCAUUAUCUAUUUUGAUCUUUUUUCAAUCAUGAGAUUUAGGUAUCAUUAGAAAAAAUUUGGUUUAAAGUAUUUUGGCUUAUUUUAAUGCAACAAAUGCUUCAAUUAAUCUUAAAUUUAUAUUGAUGAAUAUCUUAUAUCUAAAACUUAAAAAUACAUAAAUCAUAGACUUAAUGGUAUAAAAAAGGCAAGUAUUCUAAAAAAAACAUAAGAUUCUUGAUUGCAAGUAGAUUAUAAGAAGUACAAUGUUAUCUAAGUAAAUUAAAAUAUAAAAAAGAUAGCCCAAAGUCUUAGUACAAAUUUUAGAUUAAUUUCUUUCUUGUGCCAAGUUACAUCCAAUUCCUUGCUCUAAUCUCAAAUUUAAACCUUUUCUUACUAAAAUACCUAUUAUUCACUUAUAACUAAUUCAAUAUAGGCAAAGUUUAGCUCAUUGAAUUUAACUUAAGUUACAAACUUCAAAUUUUAAAAAUUAAUAAAUAAAAUUUUAAGAAAAUGAAAGCUAAAUCAAAGAAAAAAAAGUUGAUUGCUUACUAUAGCCAGUGCCUUCAAAAUCCCUGCCCACAAAUUAGUUCGGAUCUCUCUUAUUGUAGCUCUUCUUUAUACAUGCUAAGGCUUGCUGAAAAGCUAACAAUAAGAUCCAGCUUCUUUUAAAUAUCAAAUAAAAAAGAAAAAAAUGCAAAAAAUGGCAUAAAAAACUCCAAACUAAUCAUGAAUCACGUUGCGUCAAAAAAUCUAGCGACCUCUUUCUUACAAACUUACAUAGAUUUUUCUUGUCAUAGAUUUUCUUCUUAUAUUAUAAGACUUUUUAGAAAGCUAAUAAUGAGAUCUAAUUCUACUUAAAAUUUUAAAAUAAAAAAAUCUAAUAAAUGGCAUAAAAAAUUCCAAAUCAAUUAUGAAACUUGUUGCUUCUAAAAUUCCAAAUCAAUUAUUAAACUUAUUGCCUCUAAAAUUCCAAUGAUCUCCCUCCCAUACUCCUAUCAAGGCAAAAAGAAACCCACUUGAUGCUAAAACCUCUAUCAUAAUUUUCUUCCAAUAUCUUCUUUCAACUGCUAUAGAGUUGGAUAUCCAUCCUAAAAGAUAAUAUCUUCAAAGCUUGAAUAUAUUCAAGCCAAUAAUCUCAUAUUCUAAAUUCCAUUCAAAUUUAUAAAUAUAUUGGUAUUAUAUUUCUCUCCUCCUAUAACUAAAGUCAAUUAUUCUUCAAAUAUCUUUAAUCCACUUAAAUUUAUUGGAUCAUGACAAUGAAAGAAAGUUGCAUCCAAUAUAUAAUAAUUUGAGUUUGGAUGAUUGAGUUCAUUUGUAGAUCCACACAAUACUUAAUUAAAUUCUUUUAUGGUCCAAUAAAAGAUUAUUAUUUUGACCAUUAAUACUAUAGUUGAAGCAAGAAAAAACUACUUUUUUAUUUUACUACCAAAGAAGGAUGGAGUUGGAUCACUAAUUUCAAUUAUUUAAUAACUUUAUACCAAUCAAAAUAGCAAAAUGAGCUCAUUAGUGAAGUUCCAAUAAAUUAAAAUAACCUUUAGUAUUUGCAACAAGUAAAAAAAGAUAUAGCAUUUCUAUAGAAAAUUUGGCACAAGAUAAUUGCGGUUAACAUGUGGAAAAGAUAAUGUUCUUUGACCAUUGACACUUCCUCCUACUUUGGCCUUGGUUCUCCUGAAAUAAUCUUAUAUAGAUUUUGGUGAUGCUCUAUAUCUAUAAAAAUAUAAAAAUAGUAUAUAAGAGUGGUUCAUGUCAUAUAGUAUUUUCCAAAUAAUAUAUUAAUCUUUAAAAAUUUCAUAUAGAAAAAAUGUAUAUUUACUCAUAAUUUUUCAAAUAAAUUUAAGAAGCUACAUUUAGUGUAGACCUUCCUUCAUAGAAUCAUAUUGUAAGAAUUGUGGUUGGAAAAAAACAACUAUGUAUUUAAUAACAUCAAUUGGCUAAUAGAUAAAAAAAAUGACUAGCAUAUAAUAAUGACUAAUCAAUUACAAUUGCACUAUGUAGAAUUCUACUUUAAACAUAAUAGCAAAGAGUAUCAUAAAUAUUUGAUAUAAUAUCUUUAAUAUUAAUUGGAGUAGUAAUAAUAUUAUUUAUGUCUAUCUAAAAAAAACCAUCAAAUGAUAUUCCAACAAUUUUUAAAUCAUGAAAGUGUAGGUUCCUAUCAAGAACAUAAAAAUCAAAAAUAAAAUCUCAAUAUACUCUUAUAUUACUCAAAAAGACUUAGAAAUCACUCAAAGAUGAUAAUAUAUUAAACUAGAAUGGUUGUUGCCAAAGAUAAAAAGACUAAAAAAUCUUAAAAUAAGAUUAAAGACUAAAAAUGCAUUGACAAGAAUGAAUAAGGUUUUACUCUUACCUCUAUACUUACUAUCUAACUAAGAGCUAUCUGACUAUGUUCUAUAAGACUUCUAAUACAUAUUCACUUUAUUAGAUACAUAUCUUAAUUUGUAAGACAAAUUUUCUAUUUUUAUACUAUAUAAUUAGUUUAUUUCAUAAGAUAUCAAUACAUAAUAUGUAGCUAACUUAUUGACUAAGUUUCUAACUUAUAAACACUUAUAAAGUCAAAGCAAUGUCUAUAAAGCUUGUAAGAAGCUUUUCUAGAAGAUAUUAUGAAAUAAAUCUAUUUUUAUCUAUUUUUACUUAAUCAUAUAAGUAAUUAUCAUAAUAAAUAUACAUGUCUAUGAUAUUAUCUUUUCUUUUAAAAUUAAGUUCCAAAAAGAGCAGUCAUCAUCUUUUAUGGAUCUUGUUAUUCUUCAUCUUGAUUUUAAUAAAUGUCAUCAAUAAAAAGCCUCACUCCUUGUUAUUAUAUUUGCAAGAUUUUUUUAUUAACUUUCAUAUAUAUAUAUAUAUAUAUAUAUAUAUAUAUAUAUAUAUAUAUAUAUAUAUAUAUAUAUAUAUAUGUAUAUGUAUAUAUUCAUUAAUAUCAUAUUUGUACUAAUGAAUAAAAUAUUCUAAUCUAUUUUGGCGCUAUCUUGAAUCUAAGACUUCUUCCACCUUAAACUCUUGAUUAUUAUCUAUUUCUACAAAAAGAAGUGGUAUUUGUCUAUUUUUCAAGAUAUUCAUUGUCUUAUAUAUCUUAAGAAGAGAUACAUUGAAUAUGAGAUGGAUCUUAAUAGACUUUGAUAGAUAUAAUCAAUAAGCAACAAGAUUGACAUGUUUAUAAAUAUAAAAAUGUUCAAGCUUACAAUAGUCCAACUUGUUAUAAAAAUGAGUAGUCUUGAUAUUAUGAUGAAGUAAUCAUAUCUUAUCAUUUACUUUAAAUUGUGGUUAUUCUCUACAAUAGACAUUUACAUUGAUUUUUUAUUGUUCUUGAGUUCCUUUUAAUUGUGCCUUCAUUAUUGCAUGUAGUUCUAAUAAUUGAUUUACUAAAUUUUUUUUACAAGAUUAUUAGCUUUUGAAAAGUCAAAAAUAUCAAUACAUAGAUGAUAAUUAUAAUUGAUAAAGAAAGAUAUUUAUUGAAUAGAAGAAUGUACCAAAUUAUUGUAUAUAAACUUUGUCAAUGGUAAAAAUUUGUUCAAUCAUCUGAAUGUUAAUUGAUUGUAUACUUCAAAUAGUAUUUUUUUUAUGUUAAUUUAUAAAAAUUGAUGUUACAAUUUCUAUUCUAUCUUCUAUAGCCAAGUGCCUCUUGCAUUCUUGAGCAAGACUUCAUGUAAACCAACAUUGUAACCUUGAUUUUUCUUAUAUUUAAGCUUAAGAUUCUAUUCGACUAAUAGAAAGCCAUAGAACUAAUACAUCCAUAUUAUUAUUGGUAGGUACAAGAGCUUUUACACAUGCUACAAAAGAAGGGUCAAUUUUUGCUAUAUACGCCACGCCUAUUAUUGAUGGAAAAAGAAUUUCUAGUUUCACUCUAAGCCAAUAUUAAGAUUAUCAAGACAUUUUUUUAUUUUUAAAUGCUGAUAUUAUUUCAAAGUAUUAUCUCUAUGAUUAUUCUAUUGAUCUUUAAGAAAAACCUUAACCACCAUUUGAACCAAUCUAUGGCCUAUCACAAAAUAAGUUGAUUGCACUCAAGUAAUAUAUUGAUGAAAAUUUAGCUAAAAAUUUCAUAUACCAUUUUAAAUCUCUAAUGAAGGCUCUUAUCUUAUUAGUGAAGAAAAAAUAUGACUCUUUAUAGAUAUGUAUGGACUAUCAAAGACUCAAUAAGAUCACCAUCAAGAAUAGGUAUCUUCUAUUUUUAAUUACAAAAUUUCUACAUCAACUCAAUCAAGUAAAGAUUUAUAUAAAAAUAGAUCUAUAAGGAAUAUAUAACCUAAUAUAUGUUAAAAAAGAAAUAAAUAAAAAAUUAUAUUUUGAAUUAGAUAUGGAUAUUUUGAAUAUAAUGUCAUAUCUUUUAGAUUCAUAAAUAUACCAAUAAUUAUUUAACAUCUAAUAAAUGAUAUAUUUUUUUGAAUUUCUUGUUGAUUUUAUUAUCAAUUAUUUAGAUGAUAUGUUAAUAUAUUCUAAAAAUAUUAAAGAGUAUGAAAUUCAUGUUUCUUGUGUGUUACAAAAUAUAAGAAAUGCAAGGUUAUAUACUAAGAUGAAAAAAUAUAUAUUUCACAUUAUUCAAGUUGACUUCUUAGGAUACAUCAUUUCAAAUGAUGGUCUUGUGAUGGAUUCUAAGAAGGUUCAAACUAUCAUAGAUUGAAAGAUCUCAAAAAUAGUCAAGGAUGUGAAAUAUUUUUUGAAAUUUACUAAUUAUUAUUAAAUCUUUAUCAAGAGUUUUUUUUCAAAUUGUGACUAUUCUUACAUGUUUGAUAUAUAUAUAAAAAAAAAACUUAAAUGAAGUAAAGACUUCAAAACAUCUUUUAAAACCUUGACAACAAUAUUCAUUUCUGUAGCAAUCAUGUAUUACAUUAACUUCUUCAAGGCAUUCUUUAUGGAAAUAAAUAUAUUAAACUUUACUAUCGAUGCUAUUUUGUUAUUAAUAAAAAUAAAUGAUAAGCUCUACUUGAUAGCUUUUCAUUCCAAAAAACUUUCAAUAAUUAAGAUUGACUACAAGAUCUACAACAAAGAAUUUCUUGCAAUCAAGGAUUCAUUUUAAGAAUGGCAUUAUUAUCUAAAAAAAGCAUUGAGUCCAAUCACUAUGUAUAUAGAUUAGAAGAAUCUCAAAUACUUCAUGUUGAUAUGUAUUUUGAAUCAUUGCAAGAUUAUUUGGAGCAUUUCUUUAUUAAGAUUUGAUUUUUAAAUUAUUUAUUAGACUAACUAUCAAACUUAUAAAAUUUUCUAAAAUGUAAUAUUCUUUUUAUUUUAUAAAUUCCAGAGUCACCCAAAACAAUUGUGACUUUGCAAAGCUCUUAAAAAGACAUUAUAUACUUAAAUCACUCAAUACUAAUACUCAAAAAAAUUCUAUUAAGUUUUUUCUUACCUUCCACUCUUCAAUUUACAAAAGAAUCUGGGAGUCACCAUAGGUACACAGUUUUGUGCCUCAGGGUCUAAUUUUGACCUAAGUUGACAAUUGGUCCUCUCCAAGUAUUAAAUUCUUGGCUUUUUGAGAUAAUUUUGGCUAAAAUAUACUCUUAAAUACCUCCUACACAUGCUUAUAUUAUUUUAUUUUUUAAUCUACUUUAUUUUGUCUUAUUUAUGGUCCUACAAAGUAAAUAGAAGCCUAUUUCAUAAAAAGGCGGAAAUAGUACCCUUUAGUUUUAUUAUAUUUUUGACUAUUAUCUAAUUUUUAAGAUAUUUAGUAUAAUAUUUUAAAAUAAGAACUUCUAAAAUAUAAUAUUUUCUUCUCUCUUUUAUUCAUUGGCUGUGUUAUAUUACAACAAUAAGAAAUCUAGUGUAUUUGGGGAUUAUACUUUUUGAGCCAUGAUAAUUCUAAAAUAAUUGAAUAAGAAGGAGAUCUAAUUACAUUAAAUAUUAUUAAAUUAUCAUAACCACUAGUUACUACAUCUUAAGGAAUAAUUUUGUGUGUAACAACUUUAGAAGACAAUAAUGACCAGCUUUUAUUUUUAUAUGCAUAGGUUUGAUUUUCUUAAGAAUAUAUCUUAUUUCUUGACAAAAUCUUUGUUUAUAAAAUAGGUUGAAGCUCUUAAAUCUAACAAGAUUUGUGAUUUUUUGGUCCUAAAAAAAUUUCUAUUGUAAAAUAAUGUGAAGAAUGUAAGGAGAGAAUAAGAUCUUUAUUAGGUGUUAAGUAAGAUUCCAGCCACAAAAUCUCUAUUUUAGCUCGAAAAACUUGUUUUCCAAUAUAUUGUCUACUUUGGCAAUUUUAAGCAUAAUUAAUAGUUCUAAUGGUUAGUUAAAAUCACUUUUAUAACUUUUAACAUAUUUUUACUAAUUUUAAUACUAAUGUGAUUAAUUUAUGAAUCCAAAUUAGUUUUUUAGUUAAUUAUGACUUAAUUUAUAGUUUUAGGUUGUUAAUUAGGUAGAUACUUCAAUUAUUAGAUUGAGUGAUUAUUAAAAAUUCUAAAAUAGUAAGUUUAAAAGGUCUAUGAUUUUGUUUUCUUGAUUUGGUUUAAAUUCUCAUUUGAUAUUAAAAUUAGGAUUUUAAUAGAAUUUCUCUUCUAAAUCCUAGAAAUUAUAUCUUGAAUUAAUCUUUAAUCUUAAUUUUCAAAUCCAAGGAUAAUUUCUAAUUUAAAAAUGGUUAAAAAAUCCCUUAAGUCUAAUUGCUCUAUCUUCCUAUUUAACUUUUAAGAUUUUUUAAGGUUAAAUUUCAUGCCACAAUUUAAAUGGAUUAAAAAUAUAAAGUCUAAUUGUUAAAAUAAUGAUGAUUUCUAGAAAUAGAGGUGAGUUAAUUUUUAUGAUGGAGUUUCCUUUUAUAGUGAUUUUUAUCACUAUUUGGAGUUGAAGAAUGGAGAAAAAAAUAAAUAAAUCAAAAAAUCAAAAGUAUAUUAAUUCAAGGCCAAAUUAAAAUUAGGAGUUGUGAUUUGCCAAGAGUUUGUACUUAAGAGAGUUCAAAUUGAAGAAUGGUGAUCAUGAAGGCUUUGAUGGCAAGAAUCCUUGCUGAUCUCUUAAUUAAGAUAGUUAGAAUUAGAAUUCUAGUUAAAAUUUAUAACUAGAUUAAUAAAUUAAUUAAUUUUAAUGAUUUAGAAUUUAGAUUUGGGCUUAUGAAUAGUUGAUUUUGAGAUAAAAAUAUAUUUAGGACACAUUUUUGGUAUUAAUUUUGCCAAAAAGGCAUUAAUUUUUGAGACAUAGGCAUUUUUAGACUUGAAAUCGGAUUUAGGCUUAAGAUCACUAUGGACCCUUGAUCUGGGUUAGAAAUUUUUUAUCUAGAUGGUAGAGAUGUGUCUGCCACUUUUGGGCCUCUUUCCACCUAGUUAAGAGGGCUUGGAUAGCCGAGCUCCUUCUCUCUCUCCAUUUUUAUUUUUAUUUUUAUUUUUUUUUUCUUGUGGCAAAGCUAUGGGAAAAUAUUUUCUCAUUUUGUUAAUGCAAAUCUUAUCCCUUAACCUUGUACUACCUUGGUUUUCUUUUGCUCAAUAUAUCUAUUUUUUUUUUCUUCUUAUAAAGCUUGGAGCUGAGACGGAUUUUUGGCAAAUUUUUAAAGUGGUGGGGAUCUACUGCCCUAGGGAGCAUAAAAGUAUUAAGUUCAAAAAUCCAUAACUUGGUGAUAUCUACCUCAACUUUGAUGUGAAUUACUGGAAUCAGUACGCUUUGAAGUUUAGUUUACUACAAAGUUUGAAUUACUAACUUUUGAGCUGUAACAAAUUUGUAAUGAACUGUUAAGUAAGAAAGGAUCUGUUGCCUGGGCAGUUAGAAUAAUUAUCUUUGAAAAAUCAUACCUUAGUAUUUACAUAUGUCUUUGUGCUGAAUUUUAUUGAAAAAGAAGCACUACAAAGUGUGGUUUUAGAAAAAAAUAGAGUUGUAAACUUUAAAUCAAUAACAAAUUUCUAAUAAAAUUUUAAGUAGAAAGAGGUCUGCUACUUAGGCAGCUCCAGUUCCAUUAUUUUGAAAAUUUAUAUGUCAAUAUAUAUUCAAUUGUCAAGCAUUGGAUCACUACGAAAUUUAGAAGAUAAAAACAAUCCUAAGUCGAUUUCAACAAUAAAAAAUUUUAAAUACAUAAGAGUUGUGGAGGAAUCUUGGCAAAUUUCUAAACAACAAGAAAUCUUCUGCCUCAACUUAAUAUACUCUAAGUAAGUUUUUCUUCCCUAAUCACCCUCUAAUCACAUUUUUAGCACCCAAAUUGCCAUAUUAUUACUCAUUCAUCUUAUUAUCAUUAAUUAAUAUUAAUUAAUAAUUUUAAAGAACUUUUUACCUCACUUUGGAAAUUAAUCUUAAAUUCUUAUUUUUCCAUCCAUUUUUACCUUUUAAGGAUAAAAUAAGAAAAAAAUAUAAUCAUUAAUCUAUUUUUUAAAUUUUUUUCUAUUCUUUUUAAUCUUAAUCUUUAAUCUUCAACUUCUACUUCUAUUACUUUUAAACUUUUCACUUAAUUUAUAGUUUUUAAUUUUAAUUUUAAUUUUAUUUUUUAAUUUUUUAUUUUUAAUUUUGUAAUCUUCCAACUUUUAUCUUUUAUUGUAAAAAUCUUAACUUCAUAUUAGUGCUGAACUUAAAUAUUUUAGGCUAUUUACUAUAGGAUUUUUAAUUCUGGAUGAAAUUUGGUCAUCAAAACUUCAUGCAUAGAUAACUUCCUAUAUAUAUCUCUAGUUUACAUGGUUUAAUAUCGUUAUAGAAAGCCCUAGAUUAGUACUUAAGGUGGUGUUAAUUAUUUUUUUUCCUCUCUUUCUUUUAUACUAAUGUAUAAUUUUCAGAGUUUAAGUUCAAUGGGAUAAGUAUUGGAAGGUACUUAACUAAAUGAACUACAAAUGCUAAAAAUUAAAUCCUAAAAAUAUAUAACUAAAUUGUUUGUGUUGUUGGAUUAAUCUUAAUUAUUAUAUCAUUUUAUUUUUUCUAUCUUAUAUAUGAUUUUUAUCUCUACAUCAAUUAAUAUUGGGCUCUAAUCUAAGUUAUAAUCUAAUUAAAUCAAAUUUAAGUGAAGGGAGAAAAAACCACUCAUAAAAAGUAUAUUCAUCAUUUUGUAAUUACGUUGUUUUUUUGGAUAAUAUUGAGUAGUAUAUUUGGAUACUCUACAAUAUAGGUACAAACUUUCUUGAUGAAAAAAAAUAUUUUUUUGCUCAAUAAAAGAUUUAAAACAUACCAUGUCAAUUUGUAUAGGCUUUAGUAUGGAUGAAUAAUUUUCCAAAAAUCUAGAAGGUAUCACCAUAGCUUGAUUUGUAUCUCUCCAAUCAAAUCUUUGUUUUUGGCAUCUUUUAAAAAAUCAAUUAUCACAUGCAAUGGCUCAAGUAAUAAAUUGCUCUAAUAAAUCUAAUUUUGAUAUUAUCAAUAAUAAAUCUUUAAAAUUAUCUUUUAAUCCAUAUCAAAAUUGAUUGAUAAAGGCUUUAUCAUUUUAAUUCACAUCACAAGUAAAAUUUUGGAAUUCAAUAGUAUAUAUUGUGGCUAAAUAUGAUCCUUAUUAUAGAGAUAUAAGUUUAGCUACUUUUCCAAAUUUAGCUAUAAGCAUUUUUAAGAAUAAAUUCAAAUCAUAGAAUAAUUAUGAAUAUUUUCUAUUAAAGAUAUAAGCUAAGAAAGGACACUCCUAGUCAAAAGUACACAAAUGAUUCCAACUUGAAUAAAUUCAUUAGCAUAUUGAGAAGGAUGUGACCUUAGAAAGAGCUUUAUUAGUUAUAAAAAUCUUCAAAAUUUUGAUCUUAUUCCAUUAAACUUCUUGAGCAUACUUAUCCUUAUCUCUCUUAUAUAUAGAAUAGUAAGACUUCUUAGAUUUAGUUGUAAACUUGACCUAUUUACUUCUCUUAAUUAUAUAACUUCUUGGCAUAGACUUUGAACUUUAAUAUUAACUUCUUCUAUAGACAUAGGAAUAACGUCUCUACACUUCAUAUUAAAAAUAUGUAAAAAUUUUGCUCUUAGAGUAUUGACAAGCUUUUGGAGAUUUAUAAUAGUUGCAAAUCUAUUCUCACUUCCAUUAAGAGUAGUAUCCAUAAUCUUUCCUUUCAUAAACGACUCAAAUAAAUUUAAAAAAUUAAAUUAGAGGAAGAUAAUUUACAACCUCUAAUAUCAAAUGAAAAUUUCCAAAGAAAAACUAAAUCUACUCUUUUUAAGCAAAAAAUCUAUAUUAAAAAAUUAAAUUAUUUAUUUAAAGAUAGACAGUUUGCAAUCUUCAAGAUAUAAUAAUAAAAGUAGAAUAACCACUUACUUCUAAAACAAAGAAGAAUAAUAAGUUAUUAUUCUUUUCAAAUAGUGAAGGAUAUACAUCUUAAAGAAAGAAAAUUUUAAUACACUCUUAUGUUACUCAAAAAGGACUUAGAAAUCACUCAAAGAUAGUAAUAUAUUGAACUAGAAUAGCUAUAGUCAAAGACAAAAACAUUAGAAAGUCUUAAAACAAGAAUAAAGACAAAAAAAACAUUUAUAAGAAUGAAGAAGGCUUUAUUCUUGCCUCUAUAUAUACUAUCUAAGUAAGAGCUAUGUAGCAUUAUUCUAUAUAAUCUCCAUUAUGUAUUGACUUUGUUACACACAUGUUUUAACUUACAAGACAAGUUUUCUACAUAUAUGCCACAUAGUUUGCUUAUUCCACAAGUAAUCAAUAUACAUGGCAUGUGGAUAACUUAUUGACUAAGUUUCUAACCUACAAAGUCAUAUAAAGUCAAAACAAAAUCUAUGAAGCUUUUAGAAAGCUUUUCUAAAAGAUAUUAUGAAAUAAAUAAAUUUAUAUCUAAUUCUAUCUAAUUAUAUAGGUAAUUAUUGAAAUAUAUAUGUAUGUCCGUGAUAGUCUAUUGUAAGAAAAGGUUGUAGCUUUAUAUUUUGGUUUAAGUAUUGAGUCAUAGUUUUAUCAAUAUUUAUAAAUCUUAUUUACAUCAACAUUCUAUAUUGAUUUGCCUUAUAAUGAAAUUCUUCAUUUGUAUCAAAAAAUAAAAAUAAUAAUAAAUAUAAUAAAUAAAUUAUUAUUAUUUUUUUUUUAAUCUAUCGAAAAAAAUUAAAAUUGUGAAUUCUUCUCAUUUUUUUUAAGUAUAAAGGCUUUUUCAAUAAUUCAAGAAUUAAAACUCUAAUAAUUAUAAACUUUGAUAAUUCUAUUUAAAUUUUGAGAUUUAUGAGUUUUUAUUUAAAAAAUAUUCCUUGGUAGUAUUAUGUAAUAUAUAUAACUAUAUAUAUAUAUAUAAUUAUAUACAUAAUUAUAUUAAUAAUUUUCUAUCUAAAAAUAAAUUAAAAUAAAAUUAAUAAUCAAUGAAAUAUUUUAAUAAUAUUUUAUAUUAUUUUAUCUUACAUGUACUAAAUUAAAUUCAAAUACAUAAGAACAUAAAAAAUCUUCAUGAAGAAGUAAAAAAAAAUAAUUAAUAAGUUCUCUUUCUUGCUCAAAAAUUUCAUUGAUUCUUAGAAUUAAAGACAUUUGGUUCAUUAAAGUAUGAGAUUUUGAUUUUUUUCAAUAGAAAAAUUAAAAUAAUAUAAAAUUAUAAAAAAAAAUUAUUAUAUGUAAAAAAAAUUAUUUUUAUUUUUAUUUUAUUUUAUAAAAAAAAUUAGUGUAUAUUUAUGCCUCUAAUUAUUUAGUAACAUACUUUGUAAAAUCCAAGUUUUUUUUUGUAUCAAAUUUGGUAUGUUUUUGCAAGAAGCUUUAUAAAAUUUUAUUUUUAUUUUAAAAAAUAAAAUAUAAAUAUCUAUUUUAAAAGAACUGUUAAAAUAUAAAUUUUAUAAGUACAAAUAUAAGCUAUAAACUUGAAAAUAUUUGAAAGUUUUAUAAUGUAUAUAUUACAAUUGAUGUUUCAUACUCUACAUUGAAAAAAUAUUCUAAAAUAUUAAAUAAAAAUUGUGAUGUAUAUGCAAUCAACAAAAUUUCUUUUUUCUUUUUGUUAUUGAAGCUUAUGCAACUAUGAUUUUUUAUAUGCUUUUGAAGUAUUUUUACGCCCAAAAAAAUUUCUUUUAAUCCAUAUAAAUUACUAAAAGAUCAAUAUUAAAAUAAAUCAAAUAAUUUAUUUAUUUUCUUGAUUAUAUUAAAAUUUAUUUUAUAUUUAUGUAAUUAUGUAAUUUUUUUUAGUUUUAUAAAUUAAAAGAAAAAUAUCGUAUAUAUUCCUUAAAUAUAUGAAAUAUCAAAAAUAUUGAUGUAUUCUUGAUUAUACAAAAUAUAUCUCUCAAAUUUGUGAUUAUAGAAAUUAUACCUUCAUUGGUGAUAAGAUAUCACCAACAUUUUUUUUUUAGUUAUUAUCUCAAGUCUAAAUCAUGGGCUGCACAAAUUUUUUCAUAUUCUUUUUUGUAGUUCUUGUUGUAAUUGCAACUCUAAGUAUGGUAUGAUGAUUUUUAGAGUGAAAAAAUCUAAUACUACAACUGUAAAUGUAUUGGUACUAAACAAAGCCUCCAAAUACUUGACCAUUGAUGUUAAGAAUUUAGAGACAAAGGCAUUGGAUAUACUAUAUGAAAAGAAUAAAUAAUCAAGCAUUGGAAAAUUGAAGGCUAUCGUAUCUUUGAAUUAGGUUCUGUAUUUGAUAUUAUCCAUGAAAAACAAAAAAAAAAUGACUUAGUAAAGAAAGUACUUGUACUACAUAUAUUGAAGAAAUUUAAAAAUGAGCUUAAGAAUAAGAAGUAUAUAGUAUUAAAGACAAUAGAUGAUAAGAAGAAGUCAACUUCUAGCAAUGUGGAAAUAUUUUUUAAUAGUUUAAUUAAAAGCCAUAAUUAUCAUUAAUAUCAAAUUAUCCAUUUGAGAUUUAGAUAUUAUAGAUGUCUUCAUUGGCUAAAAGAUUGCAUGUCUAGUAUCCCAAUACUUUUGAUUAUUAUGACAAAAAGUACAACAAACAAUAAAAUUAAAGUCAAUUGAAUUUUCACAAUUUGUAGAUUAAAUUACUCUUUAAGAUGUUUUGGCAAAUUACUUCUUGAGUUGAGUAAGUAUGCAUUUUGGACAAUUUAUGCAUACUAUUACAAUUAAGAAUGUAUGUGGUAUAAACAAAUAGUCAUAAAUUUUCAUCCAAAAAUCUAAUUUAGUUAAUUCAUUACCUAUAUUUGGCAGUACCUUCUUAGUUCUUUAUUGUACCAUAAAUCAUAUUUGUACCAUGGGGUGCAAAGACUUCUGAGCAAGUAGAUGGUGGUAGUGGCAUGCAAUUUAAAGAAUGCAAGUGCUAUAGCAACAAAAGCAUUGUAAUAGUAAGGCCUCGUCAAGAAUUUUUAAUAUUAGGCAUUAUCAAAUAAUCGACUAAAGAAAAAGAAGCAAGAUUUCUCAAUUCUUGAAAAGUAAAAAAGAGACAUGAAAAAUCUGCAUGGCCCAUGAUUUAGGUCUUAAAUAACAACUAAACAAUGAAUAUUGGUAAUAUCUUAUUAUCAACAAAGAUACUUUGUUAUUAUCAAGAAUAUAUGGAUAUUUUUGAUAUAUUAGUAUAUUUGAAGAUAAUAUAGAUAUAUAUAUAUAUAUAUAUAUAUAUAUAUAUGUUAUUUUUUAAAAAUAAAAUAAUAAAAAAAAUAUUUUUUGGUAUUUAUAAAUAUUAAAUCUAUUAAGUUAUAUAAUAUUGUUAAAAUUCUAGUUAACUUCAAAGUCUUUAAUAGGCAACAUAUUAAUAAGCACUUAAAUUUUUUGUAGUUCCAAUAAAGAUUUUUGGCUUAUCAAUAAAAUAAGUAAAAAAAAAGGUCUUCAAAUAAAUAUAGAAAUAAAACUAAAAUAUGUCAUAUAUUAUGUAGUAGAUUCCAAUAUGCAAGUUCUAGCCAUUUGAUACCUAUAAAACAACAUAUAUUUUUUUACAUUUAAAAAAUUUGUAAUAAAAAUUAAUUAUUUAAAAAAAAAUUGUAUAAUUGCAACAAUAACAUUUAUAAUAGUUCAAAAUUAUUUUGUUUAGUUUGAUUAAGUUAAAAAUCUAUUCCAAAAAUUUAUUUUUUAAUAAUUGUGUAAAUACCAAAAAUAAAAUUAAAUCGAAGAAAAAAAUAUUUCAAAUAUUAUAUAAUGUUGUAAAAUUUUUAAUUUUAAUUGUAUUUAUAUUAUGUAAUUUUUUAAAAUUAUAAAGUAAUAAAAUAUUGUAUAAAUACAUAAAUAUUUUAUAUUAUUUAAUAUCAUAAAUAUCAUAAUUUAUAAUAUUUUAUGUUUAUGAGCAUAUUUUUUUAUAUUCUUUAUAGACUUAAAAAUCUUAGUACAUUUUUGAAGAAACUUAAAUUUUCAACAUUAUAAGGCUGAAACAAUUUAAGUUUAAUUGCUUAACAUAAUAUAGUUAGUUUUAUUGGUAGAAAAAUAAGAUUAUUUUUUUAAAAAAUGAAUAUCUUAAAUUCACUUUUUAAAAAAUUAUUAUAAAGUAUAUUUUUAUUUAAACUCCUCUAUAUAUGUAUUUAAAUAUAAUAUUUUAAUUUAAAAUUUAAAAUUAUAAUUAAAAUAUAUUUAUAUGAAAUAUUUUAUUUUUAUAUAUUUACUUCUUGAAUCUAUUAAGGUUUAAGAAACAAAUCACCAAAAUUUGUUUACCAAAUCAUUUAGCCAAACCAAAUCCUUUUUUGGUUUGGAUUGCUGAUAAAUGUAUGGUUGAUUUUAUUGCUAAACUUGCUCAAAUCACACUGCAGAUGAAUUUCAAAUUUAUUUUUGAUUAUAAAUCUUUACAACUCAAUUUCAUAAGAAAUAUUUGAAUUCUUUAAAAAAUUAAAGAAAAUAAAUGAAAGUAAAGAAAGCAUUGUGGUUUUUGAUUUUUGAAGUUAUUUUUCAUAUAUGAAACAUAAAACAAUACAAAAUCAAGGUACCAAUAAAGGUGAAUAUUUUGAUACAAAACAAAUGAAUAAACUCUAUUUCAAAAAUUCCACUCUCAUGUUUUUCUUUCACCCAUAAUUCUUGAUUGUGAGCAUAUUCUUGAUUGUAGGCAAUGCUCUAGUUAUGGCUGCAAUCUAUACAUUUAGUAGGUGUCUAAAAUGAGCUCAACUAUGCAGAGACACUCCAUUGCUCUACUUUAGAAUUGUAUAACAUAUCAUAUCUAUGAAACUCAUCUUUUCUUAAAAUUACCAAUAGUAUCAGCUCCAAAGGAUUCUAAUGAAAUCUUGUUGUUAAAUUUGACUAAGAAAAUGGAAGAAAUAGUAAUCAAUAUCACAAAAGAUAAAAAAAAAGAGGCAAAAACCUACUAAUACUAGGUGUGAGUCAUCAAAUUAACUCAUUAGUUGUUUUAGGAUAAAAGAAUGCAUGUAGAGUGCCAAAAUUACAAUUAUUAGGUGAAGAUGUGCUUAGAAGAUGUUAAAGAAAGAAGAGUAGUAUUAGUAGAGAAGAAAUGGAGUCUUAGUAACUCUUGGAGGCAAUUAUUUUAGUUGGUUUAGUAUUUUUACUUAUUAUUGAAGAAUAAAGAUUAGUUACUAAAAUCAAUGUUUAUAUUGAUCUUAUAUCUAUAUGUAUUAAUGUUGUUCUCGUUACAUUCAAGUUUCAAUAGACCAAAGCAAUUGAACUAAUAGAGGUGGGUUCGAACACGGGGAAAGAUUAGUUAUAUGAAUUGGAUCUGUUAGUGUCACAAUUGACUGUAUUCUGACUAUCUGAAAUCAAAUAUCAAACUAAAAAAUAUCAAGGCUUAUUACUUCCAUCUUAAUUCAACCCAUAAUCCAUUCUACAAUUAUCAAUUCAACAAUACUUCUCUCAAUCACUAUUCUUCAUAGGCAAAUAAUAAAUGAAACAAAGAGGUAGCACUAAGCUUACCUCUCUCAGUCUGACCCUCCAUCUCUCUUUCUUCAACCUAUUUAUCCUACCAAAAAGAUUUUUCGUCGGCCAACGGAUUCCAAAGGUUAUGACCCUUUGAAUUCUUAAUCAUUUAUUCUACUAACAACCUAUUGUUACCAGCUAAACUGCCUAACCAUCAGUCUAAUUCUCAAGGUUGACAAUAAUCAACCAGUAACUUACCACAAAGUUUAUUUAUCUAUUCUACAUAGCCCCACUCUUAAUUUUUCAGCGUCCUUGUAAAUAUUAUUUAGCCUCAACUUAUAAAGACAUAGCAGUGUUGGCUUCUUCACUCAAUGGCAUUGGCUUACCACCCUUUGAAUUGGUGACCUUCUCCUCUUUACAUCUUUGUCAUCUGCCUUGGUGUUCGACGGUUCUCCAUCCAAACGCGUCAUCAGAUCUUCAUUCAACAAAUCUUAUUCCGAUACUUGAGACUCACGUCGGCCAAUUUGCUUGUCACGCUCCUCCAACAUCUUCUGCCAUUCUUCUGUCGGUUUCAAAGGUAUCUCCAAAGGUGUUGUCGUUGAAACUGGUGUAUUGGUCCGCACUAAAUUAUUGGCCUUCUUCGCUAAUGUGGCUACUUUAGUCUGCAACAUCGCAACUUCUAUUUGCAGCCGUUCUUGUCGUUCCUUUCAAUCGAUUACCAUCCUUACUAUCUUAAAUAUCAUAUUUGCCAUCUUCUCCAUAACCACAAAAGAAAAUACGAUGCUUGUCAAGAAUCCCCCUCCUACUUCUUACUAUGGUCCAAUUAAUUGGGUCGACUCCCCUUUUUGUAACAAAAAACCCAUCCCAGGUUUAUGUAUAAUAAAGUUUAAGCCGAUUACCAUUGAUCCGUUUCGUAAAUUUAGUACCCAUAAAAUCUUCUAAUUAUACUGAACCAUUUGGAAAUCCUUUAAUAACUCAAUAUGACCCAUGCUAUUGAACUUGAAAUUUUCCUGAAAAUUUUUUAAAUCAAAUAUCGUAAAGAAGUACCAAAUCAUUUGGCAUAAAAGUCUUUGGUCUAAGCUUACUAUCAUAAUAAGUCUUCCUUCAUUUUUGGAUAGUUUCCAUUAUCAUUAAUGCAUUAGCUCUAGUUUCAUCCAAUUUUUUAAAUUCUUCUAAAUGGUGUCGUAAUGAAUCUUGAUCUUCCAAUCUAGUAAUUAUAGCAAGUCGUAAACUUUAGACUUCCAAUUCAAUAGGUAAGAUUGCUUCUUGGCCAUAAACCAAUUGAAAAGGAGUAGUAUUGGUAGUAACUUUAUAUAUAGUAUGGUAUGCCUAUAAAACCACGAACAACUUAGUGUCCCAAUCUGUUUUUACUCCUGCAACUAUUUUUGUUAAGAUUUUACAUAAAAUUCUAAUUGUCUUUUCCAUUUGUCCAUUGGCUCAAGGAUGAUACGAUAUAGUCUUCUGAUGUUUUAUCUCGUAUUGAGCCGUGAGUGCUUUGAUUGUACUAUUGAUAAAAUGAGUUUCGAGAUCACUAACCAAUUCUCAUGGACAACUGAACCAUGUAAUAAUAUUUUCAUACAAAAAGGUUGCUACUAUACUUGCACUAUCAGUUUUUGUAGCUACUACUUAAGCCUAUUUUGUUACGUAAUCCGUUGCUACUAAUAUAUACCAUUUUUGUCUAUUUCUCGAGGCUAGUGUAAUUGGUCUCACAAUCCGUAGUAAUAGUAGUUUUUUAACUGGUCUUCUUUUACAAUUUUAACUUGAUUAUAACCAGAGAAUCUAUCAAAAAAUGAAUAACAUUCAUGUCCAGCGACAACAUCCAAUAUACUAUCCGUGAAUGAUAAAAAAAAAUAAUCCUUCUUAGUAGUUGCAUUUAAUUUUUAAAAAUCUAAACAAAUGCUAAUUUUUCCAUUCUUUUUUGGUACCAUAACAAUUGGUGAAACCCAUUCACUGAAAGGAACAGGAUACAUAAAUCCAACCUCCAAGAGUUUAUCCAGCUCUUCUUUUACCAUAAAAGAGUAUUUUGAAUUAAGUCGAUGUUUUCUUUGGUGCACUAGUAUAGCGUUUUCUUCCAAUAUAAUUCGAUGCUCACAAAUUGCAGCUCAAAUUCUUUUCAAAUACACAUAGGAUCAUGUGAAAGUAGUUUUAUAUGUUAAGAAGUAAUCCACCUAAAUUUCUUUCUCCUUGCCUUUUAUACUCUCAUAAAUCUGAAUGAUUUGGGAAGCCUCUCUUGUACCUAAUUUAAUUGGUUGACAUUGUGGAAUUUUAGGAGUCUCUGGUAUAAUAUUUUACUCAAUUCUAGAAUCUUUCAUAAAAUUUGAUAAAUUAGAACUUUCUAACUCUAGUUCCAUAGCAUUGACAUGAUUAACAUCUUGUCUAUUCAUCCAAUAUGCAAUCAUAUGAUCAAAAUCAACAAUAACAUCUGGAGGAGCUAAGUACUCUUCUGGUCCCCUACACUAGUAGUUCAUUCUAGUGUGCUUGACAACUUAUCUUAUAUCAGCAUAAAUUGGGGCAGGUGUACCAAUUUCUUCUUCUGUAGACUCAUCUUCACAAUUCGAUGUGAAUUCUAAACUUGCCACUCCAAUUUCUCCGUAAUAUUGGAUAGGGUACAUUUGAAGCACAAUUUUAUCAUUACCUUUCCCAAUUGUCAAUGUACCAAGGUCCCAGUCAUUUUGAGCUUUAGCUUGAUACAACCAUGAUCUCCCCAAUAAAAUUGGAUAUAACAAUAUAUAGUUUUAUAAUUAAAAAAUAAUAUAAUCAAUUUUGUAGAUAAUCUCCACAAUUACUGUAUCAAUACUUCGUAAAAUAUCUAUAGGUUUAACUCGACUAGAGUCAGCCAUUCUCAAAACCACUUUAGUAGGCAAUAAGUGAUCUAAACUUAAUUCCUCCAUUGUAGCGGCAUUCAUAAGAUUUACACUAGAUCCUCCAUCUACUUGCAUUCUCGAUAAUAACACUCCAUCAAUUGAGACAUUAAUCAUAGGUGCACCCGGAUCGAGAUUCAAACUUACUUCUUAGAUUUCUUUAUUUUGAGAUCUACGAUGAAUUAAUGAAGAAUUCAAGAUAGUUCGACACUCAAGUGCUACCGCCAAUAGUUGCUUCAUGGAGAUCGUGGAGUAUAUGGUGCCCAAAUCUUUUAGAAUAUUAUAUGGUUUUGUAUUAGUGGUAAUUUCUAAUGUCCAUUUCUUCUUUCCAAUCCUAGACACCGAUGUAAGUAAAUUGAUUUGAUCUAUAUAGGAAAUUGGUAAAGCUCUUGGAAUUGAAUUUGAUGGAGCUUGUAAAAUUGGUUUUUCAAUGGAUAAGAUUGUUCUCCCAAUUAGGCUGAUAUUGGUUCCUUAAAAUUCACGCCUCUUAAAAAAUCUUUCAACGGAAAGGACGUUUUUCGGAACUAUGUAGAGAAUGAAAUAACUCGACACAAAAUCGAAGCCUCCGUAAUUGGUACCUCAUUGGAGUGCGCAAUCGAUUCAGGACUUAUAUUGAGUAAGGGGCCCAUGUCAGGACCUAGAUUGGAUGUCCUCAUAAUUAGGUCCAAUUGGCCCUUCGCUUCAGGAUCAUCCAAAUGUUGAAUUGGUCAUUUUUUCUUUUGCUGACUUCUUGUAAGGACAGCUUGGACUACUUCUACCCAAUAAACUGGUGAAUCUUGAGGAUCUUGAUUUAUCUCGUCUAUUUUUUCUUGGCUUUGGAUCUACUGAUCUUGAUUAUUGAAAUUGAACGGAGCAUUACAUUACUCAUAAGUAUAUCUCGACUGCUUGUAAUUCACACAUACUAGUGCACAAUCGUCUUUGGCUCUGGAAUUGGAACAUUCACUGGCAUAAUGACCAAUCUAUCUGCAACGAAAACAACAAAGUGGUCUUCUUGCACUCCCAUCUGGCAUAUUGGAUGUCUCUACCAAUAUAUACCUAUUAGGCUUAUUCCAUGUAGGAUUAGAAAAUGAUCUAGGUUGUCCCAUUGAUACGAAGGAUACUUGGUUCGAUGACGCAGAUAGAGCAUAUUGCUGAUACCUCUACUACUCUCUCCCAUAGUUCUGAAGGUUUGAUGCAGAUCCUUGAUUAAAAUUGGAACUUUAAAAAUUAUUGAAUGUUUGAUUUUCUCGAUUAGAUCGAUUUCCAUUCCAUCCAUACGUAUUUCCCGUUUAAACUUCAUUGACUUUCUACUGAGUCGAUGGGAUCAUGGUUUGAUUAUUGAAUUAUUGUUGCGUUUGUAAAAGUCAGUAAUUUUGGAUAGGAUGCUUUCCUUUAUAAAAUGUAUAUUGAACAUCCGUUUGUUUGGGUGAUGGAUAUUUUGUAUCAAAAUGACCUUGUCCCUUACAAUUAUUACACCAUACAUUAGGUCUCAUAUUACAAGGCUUAUGUCAUUUCUCCUUAUCUUUAGCCAAAUUCACGAUUGAUUCUUCCAUUUUCUUUGUUAGAUUUAAUAACAAGGCUUUAUUUGGAUCUUUAACAGUCAUAUUUGUGAACAAUUCCGGUUGUUGAUAGGUUGGCGAUGUAAAAUAAGGUGACAUCAUUAUUGACGCUAUUGCUUGGAGUGGUGUAGUAUUAAUUGGUUAUUGCAACAUAAUAUUCUUCACAUUAGAGGCAACCAUUUGUAGAUAAUUAUCCAUCGACACAUUUUUCGGUUGUAUUUGUUGGCUUCCUGAACUUGGAAUCAUUGUGGCUCCUACUGUUAACAAUUGGUCAUAAUGACAUUCUUCCUACAUCUUUGCUCAUGCCAACAAUGCCUCUACCAUAGCUGGUAGAGCCUCUUUUAUAAACAUUUUCAAUUCUGGUGGAUGCAAACCAAUAAUUAAUAUCGACAAUAUAAAUACAUCUAGCAUUUGAUUAUUUGACCAUUUACAAAGUAUAUGUGUGAUUCGGUCAUAAAAGGACUCUACGAAUUCCUUCACAAAUAUCUUACCAUUCAUAAAUCUUUCUCAAAGCCGAUCUAAAAAUCCAAUUGGUCUAAAAUGGGUUGAGAAGGCAUUCCUCAAGGCCUCUCAAUUGGGAAAUCUACCCACUAAUAAUUGCUGAAUAUACCAUUCAAAAGUUAUAUCUUUUAAAGUUAUUAGCAACCAUCUCAAUCAAAUGUCUUUAGUUCUACCGUUAUUAGCCAAACAGGCUAUCAAGAAUUGAGAUAUAUGGUGAUCGGAAUCAGAGCCCAGUGUCGUAAUAUAUGAAGUCUUGCUUGAGAAUGCUCCAGACACGUGAUUGUGGAAGGAUGAAUGGAAAUUGUAAUCACAAAAUCCUAAUUCUAAUAGAAUACUAAUAAUACUCUAAUUAGACCAUAAUAAUUCUAAGCAAGCUUAAUCAAAUUCAAAAAAACCUCAAAGAAAUUUCAAAUAAACAAUAAGAAUUCUUAAAGAAAUAUUAGAAGGAUCACAAAUAUCACUCAAACACAUCUCAAUUUAAUCUUAAUUUAAUUCUAAUUAAACUCCUAUUAAACUUCUUUCAAACUUUAGGCCAAAACCAAUUGAAUCUUAAAUCCUAAUAAAAUCCUAAAUCCUAAAUUAAAUCCUAAAUAAACCUUAAAUCAAAUCCCAACCAAAUCCUAAAUCAAACCCUAACCAAAUUCUAAACCAAACUCUAAAUCUUAAAUAAAAUCCUAACCAAAUUCUAAUCCAAAUCCUAAAUCCUAAACCAAACCCUAAUCCAAACUCUAAAUAAAAUCCUAACCAAAUCCUAAACCAAAUCCUAAAUCAAACCCUAAAAAAACCUUAAACCAAACUCCAAUCAAAUUCUAAACCAAACCCUAACCAAACCCUAAAUUCUAAACCAAAUUCUAACCAAAUCCUAAAUCCUAAAUCAAAUCCUAAUCAAAGCUUAAACCCUAAAUCAAAGCCUAAUCCAAAUCCUAAAC